rnacentral:lncRNA from 1 species
CCCAGGUCACGUGAGAAAUCGUGGCGGUACCUCCCGAUUACCAUUGAUGUUGUCGAAAAUUAUGAACCGCACGAAAGGCUCGUCGACCGAAUAACUCGAGUUUUGGGUGGGAAAAGACCGAUCAGGUCAGGGCGGCGACAUCUCUCUCGUGGAGAAUUCUUCUGUGCAACUUCUUUGUUGGUGCUUUGCAGUGAUUAUGGUGGAGGUAACCUCCUCUUUCAGAUGAGGUGUAGGGAAAUCCUUUUUGCCUGUCACGCGGGUAUCCUAAAAAGCAGUCAAUCACGAUCGAACUAACAAGAUUUGGAGAGAGUGCAUGCUAUGCGCAGGGUAUAGUGUUGUGGGGAUCUAAACUUGAAGAAUCGAUGGUUUCUCUUUGAUACCACCAUAAUUUGUUUGCACGUAAAGAGGAAGGCUGAUCAACAAGGAGAAUAGGAGCUCUUGGAGACAAAUAAGCUUCUGUCGAGUGCAGAGGAGAAAGAACCGAGUAAGUAUAUGAGAUACAAAGAGAAACAAUUUGCGAGAGAGAGAGUCAGAUGGAGGAAUGGCGACCCAAAAAGUUGUAGAAAGAGUGGGGGGAGGCGAGGAGGUGGCACUAAUUAUAGGCAGCUUGAAGACGGCACUGCCAUUGGGGCCCACGGGCUUUACGGGUUCCUCGCCCAAGUAUCGAUGGGAAUGGCCUGACGAAGUCAAACAUAAGGCCGUCUAAAUAAUAUCGCCGUCACAAGAUGGAGUCUCUUGACUCGGUGCAUGCAUACCAAAUGAAGUGGCCAAGGGUAACCAGGUGGAGUUCAUUUUUUGGACCUUCACUGUCGUCUCAAUAUAUUACGUUUUCUGGACAACCAUUUAGCUCAAUUGAUUGACGAAAUAGUUCGAGCAGCAUCCAACUCCUAAUUUAGUUGACUUUGCACCACCUGAUGGAUGUCAAGAUGCAUCUACGCAUGCACCUAAUAAUAUCAAGUUGGAGCUUGGAUUUGUCGAGAUUACGUUGUGGGAUUCUCUUUGUAUCUCAUAUACUCUAUUCGAUAUGAGCCUCGGUGUCAAAGAAAAAUCUAUGAACACUGCUCAAAGAGAAAAGCACAUCUAUCUUUUUCUCAGCGUCAAAGCCGUGAACACAAAAUCACUGUUCAAAGAGCCUCGAUAUCACGGAUGUGCCGGAGGACCCAAAAAAGAUGAACACAAGUCACGUUCCGAUUCUAAUUUUUACUCCGAUGGGGAGGGGGGAGGGCUCACAUUUUAGAUCAUUUCGAUAACAAUGCCCAUCGUGAAUGAAACCUCGGAACAUCAGAACCACAGUAGCGAUUCAAAAGAAAACGGAUUACGGAGUUGGCCGUGACUUAAUGCCAUGCCUUGUGCAAUAAUUCAGUUCAGGAAUGCUUGACCAAGCAAUUACGUGUAGCCUUCAGUUAAAAUAGAGAGGAAAGGAAUAAUCAAGAGCGGAGCGUGGUAAACCAUGACGUGACUGCUUCAAAGGGGAUGAACACAUGCGACAUCUAAGCAAACUGGGUCGUAUAAUAGGAGGGAGGAAGAUUAGAACGAUAUGUGAAUAUUUAACAUGCAAUGAUUGACAAUAUCAUAUUUGUGAUGGCGCCAUGCUUCGACACAAUAAUUCAAUAAACAAGUUUUGGUCGGUCAUGUAUCGAGUAUGAGGUCAACAUCUUAAUAUCUUAUGCGUAUCCACGUACACGUACACGCACACGUACAUCUAAGAUGCAAUGGAGUGACAUCUGAACCAGAAAGUAAAACACAGACCAGCGUUGUUAGUAAAAAUUGGAAUCGAAGGAAAGAAUGUAUUGGUUAUAAAGAUUUUGAUAGAAAAUACGUCGACAUUAAUAUUGACCUGCCAAUUGGCUGCCACCAAGACACUGAUACGAGAAAAGAAAAAUCCGCAUCACCUUUUCCUAGUGGUAAAUGGUAAGGCGGCAACCUACCGCUCCUAGCAGAUCGCGGUUCAGGGGAAAGCGGUACGGACUGAUUACCAAGCUGGUUUGCCCCCUUGGUUGGCUUGAACAGAUGAUCACAUCGUCCGUUUGUCCCUAAUGGCCGUCAAGAUUGGCAAACAGCGCUCCUAUAUUCAUCCUUUGCUGUUGAUGCACCAUAUAAGUUAUACCGAUCAACCGUCUACACAAAUGAGGCACAAGAGGAUGUAUGCCCGAUCUUCAUCAACUAUCGAUCUUCCUUCGUCGGUCGCUUAAGUAUAAAAACUGAUUACAAGGCUUGAACAUAGGACCAAACUUGAAAAAUUCUAUUGUUCCCAUUCCUUUAAGACUAACUUUUUCGUCGGAAGGGUUGGGUCGAUGUUAACCUCUUGUGUAGGUCCCUGAUAAAGUCAAGGCACACCUUGGCUCACCCCGAGAGUACCAAGGACACUAGGACCCACCUCAGACCGACUUGGAAGCGAUCUUCGAUGCUCAGCUACCACCUCAAGAUCAUUUCGGCCAAACCUUCCGACUCCAACAACCUCACAUAAUCGCCAUGUGGGCUAUCAGGAUGAGAUUGUGUCUUCGGGAUAGAAUCAAGCUGUGUCGAUUCAUGAUUGGCGGGAUCAAGACAAUAAUAUUUUGGCGCUAAAAGGAGAGCUCAAAUGUCACAAGAAUAUCAACCCGCAAACUCCCUCAAUGAGUGCUCUAGCAAGGAGGCUCCACCGCUUACAUAUAGUACUUUCGGGUAAUGAGGACAUCUAUCCUCCUUCCGACAAGUGGACGCAUCCAUUUCGGCGCAAACCUUAAGGUGCUAUCGGCAUCUAUUCAACGACCUCGAGCUCUCCUCUUCAGGGCCAAACACAGGGCACAUACUCAUUCUUGCCGAGGCCUUCCUAAGCCUCACACAUCAGAUACAAACGCUGGUUGAGAUGAUGUAAACCAUCGCCCUCCUAUCCCAUUUGGCUUAACAAGUAGCCCCACCCUCAACACUGUGGCCAUCAGUCUAGCCCUCACUCGCUCUUGCACCUUUCGAGGCUUCCUCAAUUGACCCACUACCAAUCCCAUCAAACCACUCUCGAUCGGUUGAACUUUUGCCUUGUCAUAGACAGAACUGUAAACAAGAUAUUUGAUGUAAUGCUCAUGUAUAUCCGUGUCUUUCGAUUUUAUUCAUACUUUACAUAAAUGUAGAGGGCUGACAGUAGAUUUACCAACCAUAUUUUAGUUGACUUUGAUGGUCACUUUCGGCUUGUAAAUGAAGAUUGUGUCAUACGGGCACCUGUGAGUAUUUCGGUCUGUAGUGGGUCAUUUUGGACUCUUUGUUAUGCGACUGUUUAGAGCUUACAAAGUCUAUAGUUGUAAUUUGUAUUGGUUAUAAAAUGUAUGCUGAAAUGGUUGCUUAUAGAUCCUAAGUGAAAUGCUUUGUCUAACUCUUUUUCUCUUUUGUAGGUCCUAAAGGACCAUAGGAGAUUUCAGGGAGGUUAACAUUUGCAGACAGACAUGCAAGAGUGUCGCACGACUUACGCAAAACCAACUAAGUUAGAAACACUUGGCAUGCAAACGUGAGCUACCUAGUGAGGCUGUGUUAAGGGCAGCUAUCAUAUGUAAUCGUUUAGGGGAAAUGAGCAUUGAGAUGUAGGGAAAGGAGUCGGUCAAAGGAGCGGGCAUCCGAGAUUGACAUUAAGAGGAAUGACUAACCUUUCGUGCAAGAGGUACCACAAGGAUAAGCAACCUAGGAAGAAUGCAUAGCGUAUAAAGGUUGGGAUGACUAAGUUCGAUUUAUAGCUUGAUAAAGGAUAAAACCAUAUAAAGUGAGAUGUGUUGCUUAGUGACCGAAAGAGUUGUGCAAAGCUCACAGAGUUGAAGAGAAUUGUUAACUUAAAAAAUUCAAUACUCAUGCAAGGGCUUGUAUGUGGACGAUGGAAUGUUCAUGGCAAUCCUAAGGCAACCGAAACUCGAUGUCAUGGAGCAUUAAAACUUUUUUUUCAACAUGAGGACAAUACAUCCGUAGGAGGCUGAAGUGUGCAGCAAGUUUGUUGGAAAACACCAGAGAGCAUCAUAUGCACAAUGAAAAAUAAAAAUAAAAAAAAUUAAUUUCUCAAAUCAAUCUUAUUGAAUCGUCGUAUGAAAAUCAAGAGUGUAAAACUCAUAAAAUAAAAAACAAUAUAAAGUGGUUGAGACAUUCUCACAUAGGGGAAUUCGUAUAUCCCCUAAGAUUACAUAUCCUAGUCUAUGGAUAAAGGAGCUCUCGUAAACUCCUCUCUAGCGGUGAUCCACAUGAUAAAUGUAGUAACGACGCACCUUCUCACGCAGUACGUUCUUUCCUCACGAUUAUGCACCACCACAUAAUAUCGGAUAAGGAAGGAUCUGUCUCUCUUAUUGUCCUCUUGCACUAGAGAGGGGGCAAUCGGUUAGAGGAAGAAGGGGGGGAGGAGAUGAGGAGGUUGUGCCAAUAAAAGUCUAGUCUAUAACCCAUUUAGUCCCAACUCUUAUUUAUAGAGAACCUCCUUUAACUAAUCCUAAUGGAUCAUUCUUAUUGGGUAUUUGAUCUCUAUCCAAUUACCCUUGGCUUAAUGGAUAUUGGAUCUCCUUCAAAUAACUAUUAUGAGCUCUAUUGAGUCUAUCUCAAUGAUCUAUUAAAAUGAAGCUUAUCGUAUAUCUCAUAUUUAGUAUUCUAUUCGUCGAGUUGUCCAUCAUAUGUGUGUAACCCUCUAGGCCUAAUAUCGAGUUGACCAUAAGUUACAUCUAUCAGAACUCCAUCUAACUCAGUAAAUUAUUCUCUCUAUAAUAAUUCACUCAACUCAUCGACUAUAGACAUACUGGGCCACUACCUCAUAGUCCCCAAAUGUAUAGGGGGAUCUAAUUCAGUGGACUCAUCUGUCCUCAAUUACUAUGUAUAUAGAGUCCCCCAUCUAUCUAAUAUCUUAUAGAUUGUAUACAGAACAUAGUGCUGUCAGGCCUAUACGAAAUCCAUUUGAGUUUCACUCUAAUUGAAUUAUCCCGAAGAACUCAUUCUCUCUUAAUUUGAAUCACAUGCUUAUAAUAUUCAUCAUGAUAUGAUUGACCCUAGCCAGAGAUUUGCUUGAGUAAGAACAUAUAAGAUAUUCUUCUCAUGAUACCGAGAGUGGAUGAUCCUUUAUUGACACCCAAUUGCCUAAUAAGUUUGGUUGUUAUUCCUAAUGACCAAUUGUGCUAGACUUGAAAGUUCCGGACCUAUAAGUUUAAUAUCAAAGAAUGAAGUCUACAAAUAAGGCAUCAUUAGUAUCUCAAGUCUAAGGAUUAGAUACAUAAUUGGGACUAUGAAAUCAUUGUCCGAUGAUAAGGUAUUAUUAACCAACCAACAUUCCGUAAGCAGAUCAUUUAGUAAACUCAUUCUCCAAUGAGCACUUGCACUAUAUCUCUAGUGUCCCCACACAAGUAGCUAUGAGAUCAGCUAUAUUCAUUAUAUAGAUAGGUAUAUAGGACACCGGUAUGUUUGGCUAUCUCGAUGUCUCUCUUGUGUAAAUUAUGAUCAGAAAUAUUUAAAGUCUAUGUUUAAAGGCGAAUUGGUCUCAUUAUCAUGAUAUCAUCAUGAUCAAAUUCCAAUUACACAAAUCCAAGGACAUCAUAAUAUAUUCAUUAUCUAAUAUAAAGUGAGAAAAAUAUAAUAAUAAUAAUAAUUAAAAAUAUUAUACAGCAUGUCACACGUGUCAUUACUUACAUGAUUAGCUUGCAGGGUACUUGUAACUAGCAAUAUCCUACUUGACCUAAAGACAAUCAUCCACGUGCCUGAUCCUCAUCAGACCCUUAUGACACUAAAAAAUAAUUUGAGAUAAUGACUUUAUUAAGAGAUCUGUAAUGUUAUUUUCGAAUGAAACUAUUUCCACUACUACCUCACUAUGGGCUACAAUCUCUUUAAUUAAGUGGAACCUCUUCACAAUGUGCUUAGUCUUCUAAUAAGACUUAGGUUCCUUCGCUUGAGCAAUCACCUCAUUGUUGUUGCAAUAUAAGAGAAUCAACUCCUCGAUGCUUGGCACGACUCCUAGAACUUCUUCAUUCAAACUGCCUCAUUCACUACUUUUGCUAUAAUAAUAUACUUACUUCAGUGGUCAAGUCAGUAGUAGUGUAUUGUUUGGAACUCUUCCAGCUUACUGCUCCUCCAUUAUGGGUAAACACAUACCUUGAGUUUAAUUUGCUAUCAUCGACAUCAGAUUGGAAACUCGAAUUUGUGUUGCCAUUAACCUUGAGGCUAUCUUCUCCGUAUAUCAGUAAAAGAUUCUUAAUUCUUCUCUAGUACUUAAGGAUACACUUUACUGCCUUCUAGUGUUCUAAACCUAUAUUUAUCUAAUAUUUGUAUAUAACACUUAGAGCAUGCACUAUAUUAAGCUUGGUAUAUUGCAUAACAUACAUGAUAGACCCUGUCGUUGAUGUAUAUGAUAUCGUAUCCAUGUUUGCUUUUUUAACAAGAGUCUUUGGGGAUAUACUUCUAGAAAGUGAUAUUCUAUGUCUUAUCGGUAUGAGACAUCUCUUGGAAUUUAUUAUACCAAACUUUUUGACAAUGGUGUCUAUGUAAGCAUCCUCUUGAAUUUAUCUCUAUAGAUCCGAAUCUCGAAAAUGUAGGAUACUUCCCCUAAGUUUUUCAUGGAGAAGUGUCUAAAUAACCAAGCCUUAAACAUAGAGAGCAUUCUUCCAUCAUUCCCAAUGAUUAGGAUGUCAUCCACAUAUAACACCAAGAAGGUGAUAAUACUCCCGCUUACUUUCUUAUAUAUACAAGACUUAUUUUCGUUCUUAAUAAAGUCAUAAGAUCUUAUCGUCUUAUUAAAUCUUAUUUUUAAUUUUGAGAAGCUUGCUUUAGUCUAUAAAUAGACUUAAAUCUACAUAUCUUAUUUAGAUUUUUUUUGGAUACGAAUUCCUCAGACUAUAUCAUAUACACCUCAUAGGGGUUGUCAUUAAGGAACAUGAUUUUUAUUUCCAACUACUAGAUCUCAUAAUCAUAGCGUGCUACAAUGACCAAUAGAAUUCGAAUGGAUUUCAACAGUCAUGGGUGAGAAGGUUUCGUCAUAGUCAAUAACUUACCUUUGAUGAUACCUUGUAGCCACCAACUUUGCCUUAUAAGUCUCUAUCUUUCCAUCUAGUAUGAUCUUCUUCUUGAAAAUUCACUUGGAACCUAUGGGUACAAUACCUUUAGGUGCAUCAACUAGGUUCCAAACCUUGUUAGAGUACUUGGAAUUCAUUUCAGAAUUCAUGACCUCUUAUCACUUCUUAGAGUCUAUGCUCAUAAUAGCCUUCUCAUAGGUCAGAUGAUCGAUAUCCUCAAUGUUAUCACCUUUGAUAUGUCUCAUAUAUCUCUUUGGAGAGCUGGACACUCUAUCAGACCUAUGCAAAGUCGAAACUUAUGUACUAGGUACUUAAAUGAUUCGUCUUAUGGAAUAAUGCUUGAGCUAUGUUCUUCAACCUCACUCAACUCUAUCACGCUCUCACUAUUUCCACCAAGAAUAUGUUCUUUCUCAAGAAACACUGCCCUCUUGGCAAUAAAGACCUUUUGAUCCUCGAGAUGAUAGAAAUAAUACCCAUAAGUCUUUUUGGGGUAUCCCAUGAACUUGCACCAUUCUAUCAUUGAUUCCAACUUGUCGGGAUUGUCUCCUAAUAUGGGCAGGGUAGUCUCAAAUCUUAACAAUCUUAAGAUCGAGCUUCUUCCCUUUCUAUAUGUCAUAUAGUAUAGACACUACCACUUUUGAUGAAACUUUAUUCAGAAGAUAAGCUACAGACUCUAAGGCAUAGCCCGAAAAAGAUACGGGUAGGUUAACGAAACUCCUCAUGGGCCGUCCUAUAUCCAACAACAUACGGUUCCUCUUUUCUGAGUUGAGGUAUAUAAGAUGAUAGAUUCCCAAACAAUUGAUGUUCCCAAAUAAUUUCAUAUGUUGGUUAAUCCAUAUUCUGAUCAUUAAGUGUAAUAGAUUCAAUUGAUCAUCCUAUAAAAACUAUAUAAAUCACUUUAAUAUUUAUAUUAGAGGUGUAUUCAAAUGAUUAAAAAAAAUAAUGAAAAUUAAUAUUUCUUAACUAGUGUGAAGGAUGCACCUUGGCCGUUUUAUAGUGUAUCGGAGUGACCAUUGAGCUAAGGUAUUAGUUAAUGCCAAAAAUAUAUGUGCAUCAUUCAACUAUCAUCGAGUCAUAGGUUCAUAUGUCAAACCAUCAACAUUACAAUUAUGGAGUAACGAUUCACUUUAACGCCAAAGAUGUGGUGUCUUAUCAGGUUGCGAACGAGCCAUAACCUCAUAUCAUAUGCCUCGUUUUAAUGCAUAAAAAUGGUUGACAGACGAUUUGUCUAGUAGGCUACUGUUCACAACACUAACCACAUGGUUGUUUAUGAUGUUUAUUGGUUGUUUGGAGGUUGACUAUAGUCACAUCAUUUUCUUGACCUUAAUUUGACCACGCCAUUGUAGGUGGAUGUUGUAUGGUCGAUUCAAUCAUAUCAUUAGAGAUGGGUGUUUUAUGGUUAAAUUUGAUCAUGUCAUGGUAGAUGAACGCUUCAUGAUCGAUUCAAUUAUGUCAUUAUAAAUGAAUGUUUCUCGGGUUUAGCCGGAUCAUUAUAGAUAGAUACUUCAUGAUCAGGUUUGACCAAUGUCAUAAGAUGAACAUGUCAUUAGCGGAGUUGAUUAUGCAGUCAUAAAUGGAUAUUUCAUGGUCGGAUUCGACCAUGUUAUCAUGGAUGGGUGCUUCAUGAUUGAUUCAAUAGCAUUAUCAUAAAUGGAUGCUUCAUGACUGAUUCGACCAUGUCAGAAUAGUGGGAUGCUUCGUGAUCAUUUCGAUCAUAUCGUUUUACCUCCAAAUUAUGUGUAUCCUACAUAUCAUUAGCUUUAAUCGCUUUGGGUUUUGGCUUAUAUAAAAAACACUACAGGGGUUCAUCUAUCUGUGUUGCUUCAGUUUUUAUAAGCAUGUCUUCUUAAUUAUCAUUCUUGAUCCGAUUUGAUUCAGUUUUUAAUGAUUGCAUGGCGAUUGUCUUCUAGAAGCUAAUUAGGAGUCUACAUAUUACAUUGAUAUUCAGCUAAUUGGUCUCAGUGCUCAAUCUGCUAUGGCCAAACAUAUGAAUGCAACGCCACCCUUUCAGUUGAACCGUCGGACAAGCAUCAUAACUUGAGGAUGCAUUCGUGAAGCGUAUACAAGGAGGAAACCAUCCUUCAUUCAUUUGUCUUUUUGUAAAUAUUUUAGCUUGACAUUUCGAACUAUUGAGCUUUAGAAUAUUGACAUUAGCUUGACAUUUCGAUCAUGAAGAUACGAAUGAUACAUCCAUGAAGCGUCUAUCUAUGAUGAUGUAGCUAAAUCAGAUAUGAAGUAUUUCUUUUUGAUAAAACGAUCGAAUCAACCAAGAAGCAUUCAUCUAUGAUAACAUGGUCGAAUCUUGCCAUGAAAUGUCCACUCUACGAUGAUAUGGUUGAAUUGGCCACAAUGCAUCAAUCUAUGACGAUGCGAUUGAUCCCAAAGCGACUAAAGUCAAUGGCAUGGCACACAUAUGUAACAAGGAGUUAUAAUGAUGUAGUUGAAUCAACUAUGAAGCAUCCAUCUAUGACAACUUAAUAGAAUAGAUCAUGAGGCAUCCUUAUAUAAUGAUGCGAUCAAACCUAUUUCUUCUAUGAUGGCACGAUCAAAUCGAGCAUGAUAUAUCCAUCUACGAUGAUACGAUCGAAUCAAACCAUGAAAGAUUCGUGUAUAAUGACACAUCCAAAUUAGCCAUAUGUUGACGUGAUUGAAUCUAAUCAUAAAACAUCCAUCUAAGAUGACAUGAUCGAAUCUAUGAUGCACCGUCGAUCCCGAACCUUGAUUCAUGAACCAAGCCACAAAUCAUUGUUGAAUGAUGAUACUCGACCUCAAAAUAACCAUUGAACAACAUAGGCAAUCACACGGUAAGUGACACGAUCCAAAAUGAAACAAGAAACAUUUUUUCUUGUGUUGAAACAAGACAAGGGUAGAUGAUACGAGGGUAUUCCACGGAGGCAACCCGAUGAUGAUAUGUCCUUCCUCCUAAUCCAUGUGCUUCCUCCUAAUCCAUACAAUGUCGAAAGAUGCACGGCUUCGCCUCCAAACUUAGAUCAUUUAAACAGAACUCCCCUCGUGAAUGAGAGGAGUCAACACCAUUUAAGCAACCACCGAUCGAAGCGAUGACCAACCGACGGUGGAGAAUACCUGAACAGGCAAAGGGUCUCCGUUUAUCUCUCUCUAGAGUUGUCCCACAAAACCUUCAUGAAAACUUUACUAAUCUGCUCAAGAAAACUUGCAAGAGAUCUAAACUCUGAAGCUAGAGGCUUUAUAUCACUAAAAUAAUUCAAAUUUAGCUGCAGCUCGAGAGAAAGCAUCUCACUUCCAAGAUUCAUUUGUUCACAAAAAAAAUUAGUUUCAAGUACAACACAUAAAGGUACAAAAACAAUCGCAAUAAUCAUACAGUUAACCAGAUGGUAACCGAUCCCAAAACAAAUCAACAAGAAGAUGACAAUAUCUACAAACUAUAAAGACACACCACAGAAAUCAGAAUCACCGAUCUCCUAGUAAAAAAUAGGAUAAGAAAACGAAUGAAAUAACUAAUAGAACAGCAUCCUUUAAGAUGCGUGCGGAAGUCAGGCUAUGGACAAACUUUCAAACUAAACCUGUGACUUGUAGUUCUGUUAGGAAUUGUGGCUGCUCUCACUUGCAGCGAUAGAGUUCUCUAGAUUGAGAACAUUUGAUCGAGCCCUUUCUGAUGUUUAGACCUGGCAGAACCUUGAGCUGACCCUGCUGCAUCAUAUCUGAAGGCACAUCAUUGUGAUAGAGUUGAGAUUGACAAAACUGAGCAUGACAUUCAAGGCCCUGUGGAUGAAUUUUCGGUUGCUCCUCAGAUGGCAUCAUAAAUGAUGAAUAGGGAAGAUUUAAAAGUCCCAGAUUAUAAGGCUCGCUUUUAUUCACUUUUCCUCCUGUUACAAUAUGAAGCCUUUCAACUUCCUUCUUCAAAGCAUCACUGACACCUGCAGCCACAUUGUGGUUGUAUUUAGAAAGGAUAUUUCCAUGAUAAAGAAAUUUACUCUUUAUCCAAUUGUCCUAGCAGUGUAUCUAACAAAGGAAGAGCAUCAUGACUGUAAUUUUGACAUGAAAAUCAGUUUUCUAGGGUGCAAAUGGAAACAGCAUUAACUGGAAUUUGAUAUCACUAAUUUUGUUCAUUGGAAACACCUAGAAGAUAAUCAAAGAAAUGCUCCACCAGGAGAAUCAACAAAUGAUAAUAUUUCUACAAAUCAAAUCUAAGCCCUCUAUUCUAUCAUAUGCAUGACAAAAUAAAAUGUUAAAAUUACCUUCCAUGCCUCGAUGCACACCUACAAAGAAUACUUUGUUGCAUGAAAUAACACAACACUAAUAUUACGUUUUCCCGCUCAACCGAAGGUUAAACUACUUUAUGAUCAGGCUACACCUAUCUCAAACAAAAUUUCAGUUGCAAGUAAAAAAUUGUUGAAUUUUUAGUUGCAAAACACAGAUUUAUUUGUGUAAUUAGAUAUAUCAGGAAUAAGUUUUUUUUUGUCUCUGGUAUAUUAUUUGUUUGGAUAUUUUAAGAAAAAUAACAUUAAAAAAGUUAAAAGAGAAAAAAGAAACCAGAUAAAUCACAUUUAUCGGUUACUUGGCAAAUUCAAACACUGAUGGAAUAGAUGGGGAAACAAACUGCACUGCAGUGACAUACCGGGUUUCGGGGAAACAAGGCCCCGUAUUAAUCUUGUAGACCAUGUGGUUAACAAAAAUAUUCAGUAUUCUUCAUUCUGACAAUCCCCAAACUGAAGAAUUUAGUCCAUGUUUUAGAAGGCAACAUUCUUGAAGCUUCAACCUAGUGCCUACUGCAUAAAACUCACAUAAUCAAUUCCAAGAAUACGAAAUGAAAAUUGAUCUAAUAAGUUCUUCAGCAGUGAUCGUCCUUAUUUGGCUUCGCCUGACAUGAAAAAUUGUGCGACACAUCUGUAAGGCCUGAAAACUUAGAACUGUGCAACAGUGGUUGGUCUUAUAUUGUAAUCAGAAAUUUCCAUACACUUAAUGGAUGUGUGAAACUCACAGAAUCAUUUCCAAAAAUAUGAAACAAAAUUUGACCUAAUAAGUUCUUCAUCAGUGUACAUAUUGGUUCGGUCUGGCAUGACAUGAAAAAUUGCCCUACACCUUUGUCAGGCCUGUAAACUUAGUGCUAAGCAACAACAGAAUGGUCUUAUAUUGUGUUCAAAAUAUCCUGUACACUUGGAACUCACAAACGAUAGAGGAAUCCUACAUCCUAAGCCAUCAGUAGCUUUGGCAGGAAUGAUGCUUCUCCGUUCCCACUUCUUCCACCAAUGACCUAAUAAUCUUUAUCAACUCUUAACCAUUUCUCUCUGCAGCGGCUAGGAAAAAUUGCCCAUGUCACCAUACCUCAUGAUGUAGGACGAGCAGCAGUGAAUUUCUUUUUGAUAAUAGAGAGAUAAAACAAAAAAAAAGUAAAUAAAAGAUAAUAGAAAAAGACUUGGAUAACUACCAUACUCGCUCUAACUCAAAGAGAACACUCCCAAGAUGAAGACCUCACACCUCCACAUCUCUCACACGUGGAUGAUGGGAUCAUUCCACCAGAAAAGUAACUUGUGGCCUCGCACCACUCAUACACAAAGUGGGAAAAGGACGUAAUUCAUCGAUUCAUUUCUGUUUCACCAUUACAAUGCUAUAUCCCCAUUUUAUAGGCUCAAGCACAAGAAUAAAAAGAAAAGUGCCAAAAUAAUGAAAAUUACAAUCACAUCAAAUCAAAUAUAUGAUAUCCUCUUUCCGAAGGUAAUAUUUCUAACUUGAUUUGAAAAAUAAUCUUCCUCUCUUUACAAUAUUCUUGAUUGAUAAACUUUCAUCUUUGUAGAGACAAAUCUUCAGUCAAGAUUUAAUUAAAACAAAUAGAUUUCUUCGAUCUUUUCUGCAUUUGCUUCCUUUUUCUCCUUGUUGAGUAGAUGUUGACAUAUGACAACUUAUUACAUAUGCGAAAUAUCCUUAAACUAAUCAGAUCUCUUUAAAUAAAUUAUAGACUAAAUUGGUUCCAUGUCACCUCAACAAGGAGAAAAUCCCACAACAUAUAUCAGAGUAUCCAAGCAUUUUGAAAUAUAUUACCCUCAUCAAGAAGAUCCAUCUGUGAUUUUUUUUUAGCCUUAUCACCAGAAAAGUCCCAGUUUCCUGGUUUGCCAAGAAUUCAACCUACAGAGUGCUUCUAUUCUACUAUAUAUCAAGUGUUCUCGCUCAUGUUUGACUUAAAAAUUUUCCAUUAUACCUUUACUUAAAUGUAAGCUCUAAAGUAACAUGAGACUAAUGACUUUUCUGGUCCAUAUUCGUUGGUUUUCUUGGUGCCUAUAUAUGCUAAAAAUUUGCAGUGAUAAUAUCAUCUCUUCUUUACCAUGUUCCUUGGUCUCUUUCACUUUGAUCAACCAAAUAUGAGCUCCAAAUUAACACGACAUCCAUGAUCAUUCCAGUCUAUAGCUUUUAUACAUUUCCAUGCUUUUCUGAACCAGUUGUCAGUGAGAAACUGCACUGUUUUGCAAGUCUCUUUGAAAAUUUUCUGUUGCUUCCAUUUUGUAACAUUUUAAGCAGACUAUAUAAACAGACAUGGCAAACAGAAAUGCUAGAGAACCCACAUAUUACUUAACUGUUUAAGUAAAACGAAAAUCCUUAAUGUUGUGGUGUAUUAACAUCUUGCCAUGCUCCAACAUCUAAAAACAAAAUCCAGACUUAAUAAUAUCAGUACUGCUUCCAUAAGUAAACAAUUACAGAACCAUUGCUUUAAAACCAGGCUUUAAACAAAAAAUCAAUCAUGGUGUUUGAUGCACAGAUUCCUUAUAUACAGUUAUACUUUGCCCAGUGAUGUGUUGUGCAGAAGGCGAAAACUUAAAAGGACAGGUAAAUUGGAUAUUUAAGUGGAGAGACUCAGUGACAUGGGAAACUCAUAUUCACACAAACUUAGAACAAUGUUAGCUAAACAGAUGGGUUCCAGGAAAGUAUUUAAGUGUCAGUUUGUUUAGACCUCAGUGUGAUGACAAUGAUGCCUACUGGAUUUUAUGUUUUGCCUGUGUCCUAUGCCACCUUCACCCUGACAGUGAACAUGCAUGGAUGGGCAUGGAGGCAGCAGUUAGACACUUUUUUUCAGGAACUUAUAUACAUCACUAUCAAAGAAUCAAAUAUUUGAAAAGAAGAAAGAAAAGAAAUAAAAGGGAGGGCAGAAUAAAUAGGAAGAAGAAUAAAAAAGGGGAACAGGGAGAGAAACAGAAAGAGAACUUGGAAAUUGGGAUCUCAUUCAAGCAGAAUAUUCAAUAUUCUCUUCUCUCCCUAAUCUUCUCAGUCUCCUUAACUCUCAUCAAAGUUGCAUCCAUAUCUAACCCUCGAAUAUGUUCAAUUUUGAAGAAAACAUAUUGAGGUUACGAUCCAGUUCUUGCAUCAGGAUCGUAGCCAUAAAUGGGGGCCUCUCUCUUUGUACCUGUACAAGUGUUGUGUUCGCUUAUGCAAUUUUGCUAACAUGUUUGCAAAUUUAUAUAAAUAUAUUGUAAGGAAUUUUUUAAUACCAUAGGACAGAAAUUGCAAGAUACCACCACAGGAAGGCAGAAAUUAACUGGUCCAUAGAAGGUUGAAUUCAAAGAUACAUAUUCAUGUACAUGUUCUCUUCUGCUCAAAAAUUUACUGUAAGAAAGUUGAAAAAUCUCACCAUCAUGCAAUUGAGCUUGUUGCUCCAUAGAUUGUAACCAUAACUUCAGUCCUGCAUUUUCAGUGGCCAACUCAGAUAUAUCUUUCUGGUAAGAAGAGUAAAUAGUGAAGAUAGGUAAGUCAUAUUUUCUAAGAAAUUAUGUUGACUUUAAGUGAAGCGACAAAGUAAAUCCUGAAAAGAUUUUCCCAGGAGAAAGACUCUCAAACUUGUUAAGUGCAGCUCCAUGGCAUACAUGUUCUUCCAAAUAGGCAGAGUGAAUAUUCUAGUCCUUAUGACAACUCAGGCAAUGAAAAAUUUAUUAGGCAAAUGGAUAAGAAAACAGAGUGCAUACAUGAAGCUUGACAAGUAUAAGGAGAGAAAUUCGAUUAAAAUAAGUAGUUUCAAUGGAAAUGAGAGUUAUCCUGAUUUUGAAUGCAUGGGAGUAGACCCUUUUAUGGCAUAAAAGGCAAAUCCUGCUAAAGAUAAGUUAAAAACUGAAUCAGAACAUAUAAUUUGGUUGUUCAAAUCAAACAGAGAAGAGGUUGAAAAAACAAUCUCUUACCAUAGAGAGAACAAGAUAGAUGCACAAAAGGAGACUGUAUUUUCCCUGAUUAAUAUCAUGUACAACUUCAAUUAUGACAGCUGUUGGACCCUCUCCUCCAUAACUAAACUAACUAACUUCCCAGUUAGAGAAACUUAUAUAAUAUAAAAGAAAAUAAGUCGGUUAUUUCCUAGCCAACUAAAGAUUCCUUCCAACUAUUGCAACCGUACCAUCCAUCCUAUAAAACAUGAGUCUCAUGGGAACAUAAUGAUAAGAUCCAAAUGUAGCCAAAUACAUAGGACUUGAUGACUCUUUCUAAUUCCUGAAUAACCAGGAUCUAAUCAGCCCUUGAAAACUAAUCAGAUCCAGUUGUUUUUCAUUCUUAUUUGGGGCCUCCUUUAUAGGAUAUAAAAUCAGUGAUCUGUGAGUAAUCGAAAUUAAAACACCCCAGACGAUCAUUAGAAUCUGCUGAAUGCAAACUUACACAUAGUCUGACUUAAACACAGCCCCGGUAUCUGAGACUAAACCAAAUCAAUCUACCAAAUGCAAAAUAUCAACUUGCUUAAUCCUCAAACAUAAGCUGACAACACUGUGAUGUAAGCAAAAUUAAAUUAAAGGGGCCAGAAGUAUGAUGAACUUUACACGUCUAGUCCAAUCAGAACCAAGAUGAUUAGUUGUUUUGAUAACCGAAGCAUAGUAGAUGAAUCAACUACAAGGCUAAAGUCAGCCAACAAUAGCCCAUUAAAUAUAUUAACUGCCUUAAAGAGCAAGAAACAACAACUCUUCAAAGAACAAACGUAUAACAACCUGAAGCAGCAUGAGCUGCGCUGAAAGGGUUGUAGCUUCCGUUUGAAGAGUCUGGACUUUUCUCUCAAGUUCCAAAAUAUAAUUUGCCUUGCGUUGUUUUGAGCGAGCUGCAGACUGCCGAUUUGCUAGAAUUCUGCAAAUUGUCAUGUCCAACAACUCAAAAUAUGCUUUUAAUAGCAGCACAUAAGCUUGAAGGGUAAUACAUUGAUAAAUUUAUAAAUAGAAAACAAAUAUGCACAAAGCAUGUAGUAGUAUCUAUUUCAAUUUUUCAGCAUAAGUAAUAAUUACACUAGAGGGUUGUGGAAGCAAACAGGUACAAUCAGGAUCGAGUUGCUUAUCUUGAAUUAAUAACCUAACAAACUUAAAAUUAUUAUUUAAGUAAAGCCACACUCAAGUUUCUCAUCAUCGUAAUGUCAAUAUAUGUCAACUAUUAUGUCUCACUACAAAUAAAUGCUUGACAUGAUAGGAUGUAGUAUUUUAAACCCAAUAAUGCCAACAACAAAAAAGUUAGCACUGUAAGCUAUGCUGAUCAUGCUUUCAGACAAGGAAGUUGUGAUUUACAAAAAGAUUUUUCUGCCUUUGAUAUCCGUUAAUUGCCUUGUAUUCUUUCUAAUUCUUCUAAUGGCAGAUUAAAGAAAUUGCAAUUCUCAUAUGUGGGUUACAAUUCAACUACUUGCCACAUUUUGAUUUUGAUUUUUCAUUUGAUCGAUCUUGAUAUGGUCGAUGGAAACAAGUGAUCAAUAAGCCACUGAAAAUUUCGAAGCAGCAUUGGUGGUAAACAUGAAGCAUAGGGGGCAGAAUCAUAACAAGACUGAAAUAGUUGGGGGAAAGUGCAAACCUCUUGGCCCUCCUUGGGUCGAUCACCGCCAACUCUGCAAGUUUCUCGGGCGGCAUGGCUUUCUUGGCCUCCAUCACGUCCCCGAACACUCCCUCGACUCUAGAGCUCGACACAUCGACGGAGCUGCCGUGCCGAUGCAUCGGCCGGGCGUCUCCACCGGCGGCAUUGCCUUGCGCUCGAGUCUCCUCGUUCCCCGACGAACAAUCCACCGCCAUCCGAUCCCGAGGAACCGAGUGGCCGGAGGCUUCUAAAGCGGGUGCUGCACCGUCCUCCACCCCGGAUCCGAUCUUCUCCACGUCCAUGAAAGUCCGGAAGAAGUCGUCCUCGGAAACGGGGCCCAGGUGGAGGUCCUCGGAAAUCCGGAAGGCCAGCUCGGAGUGCGCCCGCCUAUGGUGAGGUCCUCGGAACUGCGGGGCGGCUGAGCGGGGAUCCAGGUCGUCGGCGCACAUAGACGACGGCGCAUCGGGGGCGUUGCGGCGGGGGAGAAUGGGAUUGAGAGAUGGGGGAGGGAUCAAGGAUUUUGACGGCAUUUUGCCGCUGCCUCUCCUCCUCUUUAAUUUGGUGACCAAGAAGAGGAAGAAAAAGAGGGAGAGGGAGAGGGAGAGAGAUCUUCGGACACGGCUGAACUAGGGAUGUCGAGAGGGCAGAGAGAGAGAGAGAUGAAUCUUAAUCAAUGGUUUCGGAAACACCCUAACUAGGGAUGUCGAGAGAGAGAGAGAGAGAUGAAUCUUCUUCAUCGAUGGUUUCCAUAGUCCCGCUCAUAAAUAAAGAAGCUUCUUUGCAAAUUUUAGCAUCUUUUUCCCAUACGACUACUACUUUUUGUCUUAAUAAUCGCUCCUCUCCCCUCCUCCUCUCGUUUUGUGGGAUGGUGAUGAUGAUAUCUUCGUGUCUUCUCCACGAUAUGGUUUCCUUUCCUUUCCUUUAAGUGUGACUUCAAAUUGCAUGCAGCAUUUAUGUCCCGACAAACGACGACUCGCACAUGUACAACUAAAUGGAUGAAUUGUACAACUAGAAUCGAUGGGGGGGGGGGGAGUGAAAAGUCCAUACCCAAAUAAAAUGUAGCGUCAACAUCGAUCGUCGAAACACCUACGAUCACGAUGGCCGACUCUCAACACAAGGAAGCAAGCCACGGCCGUGAAUGACCCUUCGAAACACCUCAAAUUGGAUCACGUUCAAGAAUGUGAUAUUUCUUCUUCUUCUCCCAUGCCCAGCCUGAAAGCAUAAACCUUGGAUUCGCAAGCCAUUAUUGAUCGACCUAGAUAGAGAAUGCCGUACACAUUUACAAACUUCGUAUCUGAUCCAAAUACCAAGUCGAUAUGAGAUUCUCACCUAGCUAACACUCCCACCUCACUCCACAUGAGGUUGGGAGACUCCCAAACAGAUAAUAUGACAUCAAAAGAAGGCUAAGCUGACAUUAUCAUUACUUUUUAUCUUUAGGUUCCACAUACGUAAGUAGUUGCAUAGAAAAAAAAAUUCUAAAAAUAUUUUUUUUGAAUUCGGCUAUAAUGCUUUCUCUCUUUCUAAUGACUCCAUCGUUAUGUGUUCAUUAGAGAUGAAUAUUACUCUUUAUUAUUUGAUGUUUUCUCAAAAAAAUGCACAUAGAUAAUAUUUGAUGCUUAGUUCAAGGAGGGUGCAUCGAGAAAUCUUUGAUGCUUAGUUCGAUAAUGAUGCAUAUGUUCAAUCCUUAAUGUUAGCUUAAGAAGAAUGCAUGAUCUUGGAUGCUUAGUCCGAGGAUGAUGCAUUGUGCCAUCUUCGAUGCCUAAGUUGGAAAAGAUACAUUAAACGAUUUUCAAUGUUUUACUUGAGGAGGAUGCAUAGAGUAAUAUUCAAAUAUGCCGAACAACCUUUAAAGAGAAUGGGAAUCUGUUAGUUACCAAGUGAAAAACCCGAGAAGUCGAUGACCAAAAAGUUGAGGAUAGAGAAGAAAAAAAAAAAAAAAGGUUAGCAAGCAAAGAGACAUCUAGAACUAUAAUGUACCACUUGCAUUCCAAAAACUUAAGAGCUCCCUGUUUGCUUUUAGUCCUCUAGUCUCUCGGACCUCCAAAACACUUCAUGUUUUCUUCUUCUUUUCUCUUUAUGAUAUCUUCUUCUUGGUUGAAGUAGUCAAGAGAGUCACUGUCAUAUAACGAAGAAUCCUAGUCUUUGAACCUUUGGAUAGAAAAAUGAGGCAACUCAAACUCAUCUACAGCGGACUGUGUCACUCUUACCCGAGCACAAGACUACAACCAAACAUGUUUUGUUGUCUUCGAGCCAUCGAAGUUAAAAGGAACCUACGCUGUCGAUCGAAAGGAGUGCCCACUUACUCUGGCUCAUGAGGCUUAAUGGUGUGAUCGAUGAAUGUGAUCUCACGAGGGAAUGGAACUCGAUCCACCAUCAUCAUCUCUGAUACUACUACUGACAUGCAAGUGCAAAAACCCAAAAUCAAACAUACAGAAACUAAUAAAUAGAGCAAGCAAUCUGGAAGGAAUUACAUGAGAAACAGAGUGAGAAAGGCUAGCUAGAUACCGGAUUGAGGGAGGAGGAGAUAAUAACUAGUAAGAGAGAAAGCCUGUAGAUGGUUGACACAUCGGAGGGGACCUUUUUGUUUUCUUUUUGCUAGGUCCAUGGCGAGGCAUAUCAAUUCCAUCAUCGAAAAGCACCAGCGUUGUGCUAUCUAUCCCCAGUCCUGUGAUGUCGAUGCAUGGGUGGGGGAGUUCCUUCCAACUUACACUCCCAGCGCUUAGUCCACACUGGUGAAAUUUCUUCCCCAUCGGUCUAGACAUUAAUCUUUGACUUGAACACCGAAAAGAUAGUCUGAGGAGGACCCAAUCUGUCCUCCAUCGUUGGGUUCAUCAGAGGAGGACAUGACAAGCCGAAGACUAGUGGGUGCAGUCUGGUAAGCCAGAGCUUAGCAUGUUCACAAAGCUUUUGAAGCAGCAGCAGCAGCCUCCUACCACACCAUUCUUUGCCACCACUUUCAAAGUUGUUGACUGUUUCUUGUGGCUUGAAGCUUGACGUAUGCACCUCUUAGUGAAGCCCGACUGCUCAAACCGUGCCUGAUGAUCUCAUUUACCAACUAUAUUUUUCAUGACCACAAUCGUGUGGUAAAACCGACCGACUCAUUGAAAUCAAGUCUGGUCACUCGACUGACUUUGAACAACGAAAUAUAAUAUAAUAUAAUAUAAUAUAGACUUUUCCGAGUCCGGCCGGUCCAAGUCCUCGGGGCAUUUGACAAUCUUAAUAAGAUCAUACCAGUCCCAAUGACUCGAUCAAAUUAAUCUCCAAGGAAGGCAGCAAAGAAAACAUUUUCCGGAACACUCAGCAAACCUGCAAGCGUUGGAAAACAAGGUGAAUGCAUGUCUGUGUUCCGGCCUCCGAAGCGGAAACGCAGAUGUACUUUGGAGGAAACAACCGUCGCAAAAGGCCCGAUGGAUCCUUUGCCGUCGCAGCGUUUGGAUUCCGUGCUUCUUCUUAAACCACAAGCGUGUCACCUUGCUCCCGAGACUUUGCAGCGAUUACCACACCAUGACUUCCCAAGUCUCACCUAUCUCGACAAUGCGGCAAAGGCCCUCGAGUAGGCCAUAUAUUAUUCCUUCUCCGAUCACCGAACGUGUACACCGGCAGCGGCAGCCGCAGCAGCAGCAACAACAAGAACAACAAAACUCCAUUGCUUCCUUGUUCGAAGGAAUUAAUCUUGUGUGAACAUAUAUGAUGACCUGUUCUUUAAAACAAGUUAAAACGACUUUAACUGCGAUACUAUCGGCGUUUGAAACAUUCUUCCUGACGUGCUUGCUGACCAGGUGGCGUAACCCGCAAGACAAAACUGGGAAUCAUCUGUUGUGUGGUCUUUCUUGAAAAUUACCCAAACCUGAUAUUGAUCUACUUGACUUCACCGAACCAAAUAGGAGUUCCUUUCCUUUCCUUCCCAGCACUCAACUAUUUGAAAAUGAACUGCACUUCAAAGUUCCUUUCACAAAGACAUUCACGACAUACAUAUUGUAUAUUGAAAAGUCUCUUCAAAAUUCCUGGUUAGAAAUUUUGUACGUCCACGUUAUGAAUCACAUCAUCGUUUCUGAUGUUGCUAGAUUUUUACCAUUAAUUUUUUUAUAAAUAAAUUAAAAAUAAAAUAAAAUAAAAUACGUCCUUCUUUUUUUUUUUAAUAAAAUAUUUUUAAUUCAAAAAAAUGAAAAUAUACUCGUGCUUAAUUAGGUAGCGUAUGUUAUAAACUGGCAGGAAAAAACACAAAAAAAUCCAUCAACAUGAUUGAGGCGGUAAGCGACGUUGACCCGAAACACGUCUAUGGUCUGUGGACCGUAAGAGUUAGUGCUGGCCUUCCGACGUGGCUAUUGAAUAAUGAUACCAUGAAAAUUGUAGGCCGUUGAAAUCUGGAAGGUGGACGAUCCGACGGCCAUGGAAGUAAACGGAGGACAUCCUGUGGCACUUUUGGAUAUUCUCAUCUGUCGACCAGGAGAGUAGUGGAAUUCGAUGAUGCGAAGAAUAUGGAAUAUGGAAGGCCAGUCUUGGUUGCGGUUUGACCACUGCCGCUCCCCUCCUCUCUCUCCUCUUUCGUUCCCAUUCAUUUUCCCCUUCUAUUAUUAUUCCAUUCUCCUCUCUACUCGAUUCCAUUUCUAUCCCAUUUCCUUUCUAUUACCAUUAUUAUCAUAACCAUCAUCAUCAUCAUCUCUUAUAUUUUGUGUUCUCCUGUUUUCCCCCGCGCUUCCUUUCUUCUUCUUCCUCCUUUUUGUUUUUUUAUCCCUUUCUCCUCUCUCGCUUCCUUCCUAUAUAAACCUCUCUUCCAAUGUUCCUAAAAGCAAAGGCAUUGUCUAUCUAGAUCGACGGCAGCGUGGGGGGUGAAGUUGGUUUUCGCCCCAAGGUGGCAACUUUUACCAUCUUUCUGCUAGCACGCCUGGUAUUAUUCGCUGGAUCUUCUAUUCGCGUGAUAUUAGGGUACCACUUACACCUUACUUGGUUGUUUCCUCCAGAUUAUUCUCUUGACCCCGAGGAAGUUCCUUUUGGUCUCGAGGUUCUUGCUGUUCUCUUGGUGUCACGACAGGUUUUGUCGGAUUAAGCUGAUAAACUUUUGUGUAUGUGUGUUUUUGUGGCUUCGCAUAAUAACGACACAAUCGUACCAAAUUCUUAGGGUUUUGUUUUAAGGCUUCCCUCCGGGUUUUUCCUUGGGACUUCUCGGUUGGGAUUGUUUCUCUACGAUUUUUUUCUCCCGGAACUAGGAGAAGCUUAUUCUGGAGUUACAGUAACUUGCUUUUCAUGGAAACGGUGAAACUCAUUAAAAGAAGUCGUAUCAUAAAAUUUUCUUGAUAUUUAGGUCCGGUCCGACGGAAUCAUAAUUUUUCUUGUUGUUGGUAAUAUGUUGUUUGUAACACGGUGGUAUUGUUAAGACAAAUGAAAAUAGGUAUGAAAAGUGAGGAGAUAGAGAAAUCGCAUGACAUACACUACUCCUAUGGUUAUCUUUUAUUGAUCCUAGCAGAUCUGUGGAACACGUUCGUAGGCGGACUAUAUUUGGGAUUGCCAUCUCUGGCUGGUGGUAGUCUACCAUGGUCAAUUCACGGCAGCUCGUUCUAAUUUUUCAAUAACUUCUUUAAUGAACUGACGGGCUGGUUUAGUGGAGCUUUGAAACGAUCGAAUCGGCUGGGCUUGAUAUGUGGCCCGAGGACUUUUUAUCUUGACAACACAAAUUUGUAGUGUAAUCCAAGUUAUUGUUGGUUUAGCUUUACGAUUCUUUUUAUUCGAUCCUCCAAUAGAAUAAAAGUCCCCAUUAAAUUACAUAAAAACAGGAAAUGAGGGAGUUGUUUCUGUUUUCUCUUCCGGCUUUGUGACACACUCCUAGAUUGAUGUAUUGAGUCGCCUUAACAGCAACUCUCAAUUUUAACACCAAUAACCACAACCAACUGCAGGUUUACCUUUGAAGGACAGCCCUGUCUCUGUUUUCACUGCACAAAGGAGAUGAUAUGUUCAGUGUUGUGAACGAUUAUAUUUCUGGUUUUGCAAAUUAUACUUUUACUUUUCUGCCAAAUAACACCACUUGGUUUGUCUGCCUGCUUGCAGUUUAGUCCAACAGUAUUCUUGAGAUGGGCUGUUUCACAGUCUUGAAAUGCAAGAAAAAGAAAAUUAGGUGUUUUGGAAACAAGAAACGCAUGAUCGCUGCAGAGACUGUUACAUGUGCACUUCCGGAACCAACACAAUCUGGACCAUCCCUCCAGUCUGCCCCUCCAAGUUUCAGAAACAGAACAAAACCUGCACAAUCUGGCCAUCGGAUACUCAACAGCAGAGUUCGGGCACUGUCUGCUCCUUCUACCCUCGUUUUGGCAGACCAGUAUGCUCUUGCUUCACUAGAAUAUGAUGACCAAGAAGAGUGCAAAGGCAGAGGUAUCUCAGUGAAGGACGAACGCUUUUCAAAUCCUUUGCCGCUGCCCCUUCCCUCGCCACAUACUUUCUCUUUGAGGAACUUGGAAAGUUUUAACUUGAACAAUACUAGUGGUCCUAUCGUAUCAUCUGGACCUCUACCAUUGCCUCCAUUAGGGGGAGGAGGCCUCCGGAACUUCUCUUAUGAAGAGAUUUCGGCUGCUUGUCAAAAUUUUUCUGUGGGUCGAUGCAUGUCAGAAGGCCUUUCAACUACAAUCUAUAAAGCUACCUUUGGAGAUGAUAGCAUGAGUUUAAAGAGAAGCGAAGCUACAGUUACUCGUUUACUUCCUUCCUGUCAGGUGAUAUGAACAAGCAUCCUCAUGCAUGUAGUCACACAUGUAGGCUUUUAUGGAUUUAUGAUAGCUGAUACUGAAAUUCAUGUAGGACCGAAAUAAUAGCAAGUGUGGAGAAAAUUUUGCUAUAAUUAGCUUGACCUUUUAAUAAUGUGAUCUUUGUUUUAUUUCUGAAGUUCAACCUUGCCGGUAAUACAAAGUAAUGAUUACAGAGUUUCGGACUUUCUGUUGCCGACAAUACACAUUAAGCACUCUUCCUAAGUUUUUCUUAACUUAAGAUUUGUAUGUAUGCUAUCUUCUGCUGCUUGAAUCCUUGUUGCUGAAAUUUUCAACUCAUUUCAUGUCAUCACAUGGAAUUUAUGUUUUUGCAACUUGUCAUUUUGCAAUCAUAGGUUUGCACAUUUGUGUGAGAAUACGUUGUCUACAUAUUGAUCAAGGAUUUUAAUUUCGAAUGAUACCAUCCGUACCAGUCUGCCAACAGAUCGGUACGCUGAUCGCUCGCUACCGGGCGAUAUCAACUUGGCUACGGCCUGGCUACGGUGAGGGAAGAAGAAACGUCGAGGGAGAAGAGGGAGAAGGCGCUCGAAGAAGAGGGAGAAUCGGGAGAACCUUGAUGCUUCCCAAUCCGACGUCGCCCUCCCUCUACGAUCCUGAUCCAAGAGGUAACGGAGAGGCGACGACUCGGGUCAGUUGAAAGUUUAGUUCCAGAUGAAAUACGAGUUUGGGUCGGGUGCUUGUGUUAAGCAAUGAAAGUUCUUGUGUUGGCUCAAGAAGAAACAAUAUCUAGUGAGGAAUUAGGAUAAGCAGUGGGAUAUCUCGGUUCUUCUUCACCGAAGGCCGGAGAUGCUUGCGGCCUUCGUCGAAGGUCGGAGAUGUGUACGGCCUUCUACGUCGUUACCGAACGUCGCAGAUGAGGAGAAGACCGUGUCUUGUCCUCAUCUAACGUGACGAGGAGAAGAAAAGGAGGCGAUGCCGCCGAGGUAGCAUACGCCUCCCUUUUAUAUAUAUAUACACACAUACUGAGCGGUACACCCUGGCGUACCGCUUGGUAUGUUAGUACCAUACCAUAUCAAGCAAAGCUCGAAACGAUGGUAUGGUACAAAAUUAUGAAUCUUGAUAUUGAUGGCAAAAUUUCAAAUGCUUCAACGAUUGUGCUAUAUAUUUUUGCACACAUGUAUCCAUGUGCUUUUUGCUAAACGAAAAGUACAUUUGCAUUAGCAUUCUAUGGUUAAUUAGUAUUGGCAUCCACUUUGUGGGAUUCCACCUCUUCGCCGCUUAAAUUGUUGCAAUGGUCCAUGCCAGAAGCUGUCUUCUCUUUAUUAAUUUUUUUAUUUUCUGAACUAUGAACACUAAGAUUCUCCUUUUGAUAUAAACUUAAAAUGUUUAUGUUUAUAUUUUUUAGGGUUUGAAGGAGUUUUUGAAUGAGGUGAAUGUACUAGCAUCCCUACAGCAUCCCUAUCUCUGCAAGCUGCUUGGUUUCCAUGCUCAAGAGGGGUCUGAUGAGCGGAUGUUAAUUUAUGAGAGGCUCUAUCAUGGAAGUAUAGAUCGACUUCUUCAUGGGGGAUUAGAUGGUCGAUCCAUGGAUUGGCCUACACGAAUGAAGGUUGCCCUAUGUGCUGCAAAAGGCCUUGCAUUUUUGCAUGAAGAAGGGCCUUUUCAGGUUAGUUCACCACACAAUUUAAUAUACCUCCAACCUUUCCGCAUCAGACAUUGUUUUUUUGUGGGAGUUCUAACUUCUGGUUUGAUUUCGGAUUACUUUGUUAAAAUGACUAGCAUUAGGGACAAUAUUGCUCCAAAGAGAAAUAGUCUUCAGAUGUGUCUCUGACAACCUUGUAAACAACACCAAAUUCCCAUAGUUGUUGACCUUGAAUUUGGUUAGUUAUCUCUCAAAUAUAAUCUUUUAAAAUUACAUUCUCUGCUGAUUAUGUUUUCUACAUUUGAGGAUGUAGCAGAAAGUAGGGUCCAACAUUCUAACAAGAGAUAGUGUUUGCUGGAAUUUUAAUUUUGGGUCUCCAUAUUAACUAUAAAGCACUAUAAAAUUGUAAACUUUGGUUGUGGAAAAUGGAAUGGUGAUAUUUGAGGCUGAUUUUUUAUAAGGUAAGAUGAUUAGAAGUGAUAAAUUUUGGUGGCGAAGGCUGCUCGAAUGUGUUGUUUUUAGUUGGAAAAAGACAUUGUUAUGUAGUAUAUUGAUGGUGAAUGCAUCACUUCUUAAUUCAAUGAAGGGAAUGGGAAGUGAUAUAUGCAGAAGCUGAGGAUAAAAGCAUCAAGCUCUGAUGGCCUUCAAAAUAUGAUGAUAGAUAGCCGAUACCAUAUGAACUACAGAAAACUUCUUUUACUGCAUCUUUGUAAACUAUAAUAACACCAAGGGAGUCAUAGCCUUAAAAUAGUAUUACAAUAUCAUUGUAGUAAGAAGACUUGCCAAAAAUCAUAAAACCUGGAACCCUCUAAAGUACCCUCUAGUCUCUAAAUAGACAUUUGGAUCUUUCUAAAGUGGAUUUCCAGUAGUUUAGGAAUUCUUAUAAUCCAGCCUCUCUGAGAAGUAAAGCUUAAAACUAAGAAUAUUACUUAAAGUAAGAUUGUCUAACACCUAGUAUGAGCUUUUAACAACAUGACCAAUGUCAGAUACUUAGAGCUCAAAUAUAAUGUUGGUUUUCUCUCAUCAACCUAAUCGUGUCUGGAUGAUCGAUCACCUAAUUAAAUUUUUAAAUGUGGGACCAUAGCAGGACUUAGUGAUUACUUUUUGGAAGAAUCCUUUUGUUUGCCUCUUAUUUGAAUAAUCGUUCACCUAGUUUCUGGUUUGUAUUUUCACCAGUUGUCAGAUAGUGUAGACAACUCCGGGUGACAGACCUAUUUUAAAUCCUACAGAGGUGCCAAGGUAGUGACUGAAGUAAAUCUCACAAAAAGGUUUCAUAAUAAUAAUAUUUUCUUUUAGUUAAUACAUAAACAUAAUCAAGAUUUGCUUCCGGUGUUCUAUAACUCUGGUAUUAACAUUGAUUUAAGAAAAGUACUUAGAAGAUAUAUUUUUGUGUGCAAAGGCAAUAUAUGUCAUUAUUAUAAUUGUAUACGUGAAGUCUUUAGAAGGUAAUACAAAUGUCAUAUACAUAAUUAUUAUCUGAAUCCAGGCCAUAAUAAAUGUAUAUGUUAAGUGAAUAGAUAUAUACAUGAUUGUAUAUUUGUACAUAUGUGAUUCAGGUGUGUAUAGAUAAGGCAUCCUGAGACUUUUUUAUCUGCCUGGCAUCCAUUUAUCACCUCUAAUAGCAGUGCAUAUCUGUGCUUUUGUGCAAAGCACAUUUAUCACUUCUAAUAACAGUGCAUAUCUGGUUGGGUCCACAUUAGUACUUUUCUUGCAUGUGAGGGGGAUUAUUUGAGCUUAAAUAUGAUGUUGGGCCCCUUGCUGUUUCAGUCUCUUUUUGGCGUCAUAUAUUAUGUACAUUGGUCCGCAUUUUUUUUAUUGACUUUUUCUAUUCCAAGGGUGAAAAUUUUUUGAGUACUUCAAAUGAAACUUCUGGUGAUCUUGUUUUGUCAAAAGUGCUUAUAAAAUUUUCUAUAAGUUUAGAAGUAGGUAAUUACUGGUUCCAGAACUUUUAUAAACACAGUUCAUUUCCUACCAUCGGACCAUAAUAAGCAAAGUACAGUAUUCCAAUUUAAUGUGGCAGAAUCACACUAGUGAUGACUACCACCAAACACAGUUUCUAAAAGCAAAAGCACACAAACAAAAUAAAUUCUUUUUGUAUUUUAUUUUGUUUGUUAGAUACAAAAUCCCAUAAAGAACGCCAAAUGCAACCUAGUGUUUGCGGUAAUUGUUCACUCAACUAAACUUCUGGGAAACAAAUGAUAUUUUGUAUCAUUAAAAUUAAUGAUUUAUUUUCCAGAAAUUCCUUCUGUGGAAAUGGUUGUGCUUAUUUGAUGGCCUUUUGAUUUUGCAGGCCAUGUAUUAUGAGUUUUCAACUUCAAAUAUACAAGUUGACAAGGACUUCAGUGCAAAGCUAUCAGGAUAUGGAUGUGCAAGCUACAAUCCAGAGGCAGACGUCUCUGAUUCUUCUAUUGUGAGUGAUUUACAUGAUAUAACAAGCAUAAGAACUACAUCCAAUUUGCUAAAUCUUGCUAAAGAGAAAAAAAAAAACAAAAAAGUUGUUUGCAUAGCCAGAUUAAUGAGUGCAAAUUUACUUGCCCCAGAACGAUACUUGCAUGUGACCAUGGUCAGAUUUUAGCACAUCUCUGGGACAUGCUGGACUCAGAGCCUGUUCACCCCAGCACAUUGCACCACACAACAGGUUAUGCGUGCUCAGGACUAUGUUUCAAUCUACCUUAAAAUCUUCUUAUGUUUAACACUGUCAGCAUCGCAGAACUCCCUUGAAAUUUCAAGGAAAUAUAUAAUCAUUGUUUGCAGCUAUCUCAUGCAAUACAAAUCACAACCCAGUUUUCUACACUGUUAAUUUAGUUCUUGGAGUGAUUGAGGCCGUGUAGUUAUCUCAUGCAGCGCAUUGCACCCAGUUUUCUACACUGUUGCAUGCAGCUCUCAUGAGAUACAAAUCACAACCCAACUAUCUCGUCAUGUAGCUUCAUGCUAUACUUUUAUCCUGGUGGAUAAUACAUGCAUCAUGAAUAUGAAGUUUCUUGUUCUACCAUCCUUUUUCUGAAUGUAUCAUUUAGAUGUUGAUCUUCCAUAUGAUUCUGGAACUGCAUUUAUACCUUAACCUCAACAAAAAGCAAAUGCAGUUUUUGAUUUGUUGGACAUCUGUGAACUAGACCUGUGAAAAAUGAACACAGCAGACUGGACUAAGUGUGAAGUAGUAAUGAACAUUACAAAAACCACUGACAAGAUAAUAUACUCUAUGAUUUGUUUCAGGCUACUGCAAACCUAUCAGUGGAGACCUUGGAGCAGGGGUUGUUCACUCCGAAGAGUAAUGUCUGGAGUUUUGGAAGAGUCCUUCUUGAACUGCUGACUGGUAGGAAAAAUCUUGACAACCGCUAUCCCAAAGAAGAGCGAAACAUUGUGAAAUGGAGUAGACCUUUUCUUGCUGAUGAUUGUCGCCUAUCUCUUAUCAUGGAUCCCCGUAUGAAAGGGCGUUUCCCUCCAAAGUCUGCCCGAACUGUAGCAGACGUUGCACUAAAAUGUCUCCGAAAGGAUCCUUCGAAGAGGCCUACCAUGAGGUUCAUCGUCGAAGCACUCAAGGAUGUUCCUGACAUGAAAUGCCCUAGCCGUUACCCCCUCCAAGAACCAUCUGUCAUUGCAGGGAAACGGAUGUGCAAGUCUCCAAGUCUGACUGGCAUCAUUCCACCACAACCUCCUCCCAGUUUCUCAAUUUCACCUCCGUCAAAAAGCCAAUUGUUGCUUUCUCCAAGGACAUCAAUAUCCAUACCUUAUCCGCCUCUUAAGUGCACUACUACACGUGCAGUAGAGGAUAAUAGGAUAAGCAGUAUCAGAAGCUGUUCGCCUGCUAUGCAGAGGCUUGAAGGGUUUUGAUAUGCCUAUAUUGAUUAGUAAUUUGUUGUUUUUGGGUUUUUUUUGUUUUUGUUUUUGUUUUCUGUAUGUUGUGACUUGAUGCAAUAGAGGAUACAAGAUGUAUAUUUUGUUUGCUUAUCCACUCCUAGGUAAAGUAAUGGGGGUAGGAUUACCAUUUGUAGGUAAGCGUUGUGUUGUCAAUGAAUCUAUACCAAAAUUUUGUGUAUCCCCUGUGUAUUGUUGACUGAACUACUCUUCCCCGAGGAGGGAGGGCGAGUGAGUUCCUGUCAAGUCACAGUAUUUUGCGAACGGCAUCGUUUUCAACUUGUGAGCUUGACUUGAGCCCACCAAGCCUUGCUGUGGUUUUAGACAUGGAAAUUGACAGGAUUUUGAUGGUAGAUCGCUUCCUGAUGAAAAGUUGUUCCUAAUUACAUUUAAAGGUACGUAUCCUAUCAAUGGCAGAUGGAUGAGCCGUCCUCCUCCUCCUAAGAGUUGCGACGCUCGUCAAUUUGCUAUUACACCAUCGCUUCCGGCUCAGGCGGUGUUUGUUUCUGUGUCUACGCUGGAAGCCAAGACGAGUGCAUCUCUUCCGUAGACGCCGUGAAUCACCAGAAGGUGAGCCCCCUUCUAUGCAUCUUCUUACGUGAACGAUCCAGACUGACAAUUGCAGUAGCUGCUAGCUAUUGCGACCAUCGAGGGGUGCCGUACCCAUGACAAGCAAGCAUUGUGAUAGUUUGUGCUGCUAGCUAUCAUGGGCAUGGGCAUGGGUAUGAUCUCUGAUACUGGUCCCCGCAGGGCCUGUAGAUGAAUGAACUCGGGGGAGCACAAACAAAAGAUAUUAGCGUUUCAGGUGGUGUUGAAGCCGUUUCUCUUCUGCAGAAAUGAGUAUAAUAUUCGUCGGCUUCUAAGCGAUGACAACAAGUAUGAAAAGUUUCUGCAGAGAAGAGCAAAACCUUCAAGCGGCACCCUUCUUCGUCCGUCACCGUCGUAAACUUUUAGCCAUGAGGAGUAUUUGUUGUCACUAAAAGCAGCUAUUUGCGACGGCAAGUGCAUCCUUCACCAUCUUUCUUUCUAUGGAUGCAUGCGGGAAAUAUAAGGCGAACAUCAAACGAGGAUGGCGGCGACGUCUCUGAGCGAUGGUUUCAUCUGAAGUUGGACAUCCGACUCUCGAGCAGGUCAACGUAAGUGAGGCUUUUAAUUUUUUUUGUCGGGGACCCUCUUGGUGACAUGUUCUGUGCAUGUGCAUGUGCAUGUGCAUGUGCAUGCCUGGCGAAGUUGAGAGAAAGGGCACAUCAUACGGUCCGGUCCCUUAAUAAAGUCAAACGGGAAAGCCACUCCACCUACCACUCUUCCAAUCGCUUUAGCUUUACCUUUACCUUUUCCUUUAGGUGAUAACUUGUCCUUUCUCUUUUAUUAUUAUUAUUAUUAUUAUUAUUAUUAUUAUUAUUAUCUGAAAAGCCGUACCUGCGGCCACCACCACCAGCUCACGGUUCGCUUUACUCGCUUUUUAUCAUGCAAGGGUGAGGGUGGGGGACCCUUGGGACGAGAAGCACUUUUUAAGUCUUCCCUGAGCUGGCAAGGCCUGCUGCUGCUUGUGCCCCCCUUCCCCACAACGAAAGGGAGCGCUUUGCCGGCAUGCAAGUCGUUCAUUCGAUGGAGAUUAUUAUAAGCAAUUAUGAUGUGAAUGUUCCAGUAGCAUACAUGACCUACCUAGUAGUCUUUUCCUUUUGCCAAAAAUUAAAGCAAAAGAACAAAAAAAAAAGAAACAUACGUGAGCUUGCGCCAUCAAGAUUUAUUAUGUUUGUCAAAGAUAAAAAAAACAGUAAUCGCUUCUUCAGGUCAAACUUUGAUCCUUGGGUUGGGGGAUCAACUCACAUCCAACUGUUUUACGCUAAAUAAUCCUCUCAACCUAUUACGAAAGAAAAGCGCAAGUAUCUCCACCCGCUCGAUUGUCCUUUCCACCUUUCCAAGUCCAAAUGCUGCAGGGACGUACCAGGAGACGUACGCCUUCCUUUUGGUCUUCGCUCUUUAUGCCCCCCUCCCCCCACAGCUCACUUUUGCUGCUACCGCGUAUCUAUCUGUAAGCAAAAGAACACAAAUUGAAUGAUCGAUCAGCAGCAUCUGCUUGAAGAGGGAGGGGUCCAAUAUAUAUAUAUAUAUACAUGGCUAACACAGUCCAAAUAUCUGUCUCAUCAUGUUCUACCGCGUAAGAUUGGCAUAUAUAACAUGAUUACUCCCUGCACUGGCUACCUAUUGUAAUAGGAGACUAGAGGUGUCUCGAGGUUGAAGUUUAGCUAGUAACUCUCAUCUCCCACCUCGACAUUCAACCAAUGUGGUGGAGCUCACUUGCACAGCAUCAUACAGCGACGGCGAGUAAAUUAAGGACGAGUUGCAUGAUGAUUUGCUCUCCGCUUUAUUACCUGUUUAAACAUUAACGCUAUCUCAACUCUGUUUACUUGUGUCGAGUGAAUGCAGAGAAUCUCUGCUCAGGUCAACUGGAUUCAUGUUGCCUGUUAAAAGCAGCCGAUGCUCUUUCAGCGGAUUAACGUUUUGUCAGCGCGCUCGGUGGUCGCCGCCAUGGAUGCAUGCUUCAAUUUUUUCUAAGAGAAAAAGCAGGGCAAUGGAGCUCGAAACCAGACGAACACGUGGGAAUGUAAGAUCCCUCCCUCCAUGUCCCACCUCCUCCGUUUGCAACACGGAGCUUCUCGAUCAACUAAUACUUAUCGACCAACUGUUAUACAACUAGGAUGGAUCUUAUCCACGCCUUGAUGGCCACGGGAAUCAUCAUCUUCUGCCACUUAGAUCGAAACAAAUAGACUAGUGCAAAUCCAGCCUAAAUAAGAAACAACCAUCUAAUAGUUGCAAUGAGAAAAUAUAACACCACCAUUAUCUAAAUCACAUGAAGAAACAAGCGUUGACUUUUAGUUUUUGACAAUACAAGAGCCCGGUGAACAGGAAUCCGGCGAUAGAAAGUCCAGCUAGACAAUUUAAACACUUCACAUUCUGCCCAACAUAAGAAACAACCAAAAAACAAAAGGGAACACAAGGCAUUUGCAUUUCACUCCUACUUUUAUAGUUUACUCUCCUCCCCUUCAAUAAGCAAGCCGGAUUCCUUUUCGCCAUAGAACUCAAUCUUCCAUACGAUCUUAUGCUGAGGUAACUCACCUCAUGUCUUGGACUUCAAGAAAAAGCAACAAAAUGAAGAGGCAAAAAAUUCAGAAAUUCAAGUCGAUUCGUUCUCGAGGUGCUCCUGUGGGCAUCUGAUCAUUUCCAAAAUGCUUACGACUUCACUCAUGCCAGGCCGGUUUGAUGGGACUUGCGAUGUACAGAUCAACCCCAACUUCACCACCGGCACACCCUCCUCUGCUGGAAACUUCCCACCGAGCCUCCCAUCCACUAGCUCAUCAACUCUUCCUUCUUCCAAUGCGACCCUCACCACAUCACAAAGCACUACCACAUCGUCCUCCAUGUACUCCACAGGUCGCCUUCCUGUAAUAAUCUCCAGCAGCAACACUCCAAAUCCGUAGACAUCACACUUCUCGGUGAUCUUCACCAUCCGACAUGCAAACUCUGGUGCCAUAUAACCAAGUGCACUCUGAAUUUUGCUGCUAAGCACAUAGCGGUCCAGCAUCGGUAAUAGUUUUGCCAGUCCAUAGUCCCCAACUUUGGCCUCACCUGAGCCGUCGAUAAGGAUGUUGCUUGAUUUGAGAUUGUAGUGGAUUAUGUUCAGCCGAUGUAGGUAAGCUAAGCUUCUCGCGAUCCCAAGAAUAAUAUCAAACCGUUCUUGCCACGAGAAGGGGUUCGAGGUGGAACAUUCAUGCAGGUGCUUAUAUAGGCUCCCACCGGAGACAAACUCGUAUAUGAGGAGCUGCAAUGAUUGCGUCCAAUAGUAACCUUCAAGGGCCACCAGAUUAGAAUGUCUUAGUUUUCCCAGCUUUUUAACCUCCCUUUCGAAAUCUUCCUGCGAUUUCACCAGGCUUGAAACUGUAAGCUUCUUGAUGACCACAGGCCUCCCAUCCCGGAGAUUCGUCUUAUAGACCGUACCAAAGCCCCCACGACCCAGCUCGCAGUCCUUGUUUAGGAUUGUAUGUGCUCGGGUGCUGAAAUUAGGAUCACUCCCGGAGAACAUUACAAGUUUGCCAGAAUUUGCAUCGGUUGAAGGAGAAUUGCUGUAGUAGCCAUCAGACAGAGCAAGGGCAGCAGCAGAAUGGGGGUCAGUGGAGGCCCGGACUCGCAUGUUAAGGAUGGUAAUUGUGAUGACACCAAGUGCAAUAACAACAGCAGCUCCAAUCGCAAUAAGAGCAGAUAUGCUGAAUAUGAUUUUCUUGUGGCGGGUGUUCUUGGAUGAAAGGGAGGUAUUGGCAGAUGAAGUGGAAGAGUUAGGAUUGAGGACUAUAGGCUUGGGAAGAACAGUGGGGCAGGAACGGUUCACGACCGAGCCACAGAGACCAGGGUUGUCAGAGAGGGAGGAAGGUGGAAUGGCAUUGAAGAAGUUUCCAGCAGGGAGGUCCCCAGAGAAGAGAUUGUGGGAUAUGUUGAAGGAGAGGAGAUGGGGGAGAUUGGAGAGCUGCUUUGGGAGGUUUCCACUUAGUCGGUUGAACGAAAGAUCUACUUUGUGAAGGUUGGUGAGGUUGGCUAUGGUUUGGGGUAACGGACCCGUGAGAUUGUUCUGCGAGAGCAUCCUAAAAUGAAACAAUUUAAACAAAAGAGUCAUUAGAACAGGUUUAUGCUGAAAUCUGAUUUACAUUGAGACAAUGAUACAAAAGAGUGAAUUACAAAAAUCACCUCUGAUUUCGCAGGCAAAGUCAAACCGAAAGCUGAAAUAAUACCGGCUAUGUCAAGGAAGAAACAAAAUAGUAUCUCAUGCGACAGGAUUAUCAAUUUCAGAGAGAAAAGAAACAUUACGUUGUAAGCAGUUAUUUGCGUUAUUUAACCACUCCUGAUAAACUAACCAAAGUAACAUCUAAGAGCAGCAACUGGAAAGGGACAUACAUAUUAAGAAAAGCAACAAGAAAGCUACUCCAAAACCAAAUGGAUAAUCCACGCUGCUGUGACCAAGGCAUAAGUGCCCUUUGGCAGAGAAUUUAUACAGAAAAGCAGGAACGAAGACAGGUUGAUCAACGGAGGGCCACCUCCUCUUAUGAUGAUAAGGGCAACAAAUACCAUAAUUCCAGAUCCAACAAUUGGAAAUAUCCUAUCUACCACCAAGCACUGACAAGCGGAAAGAACUUACAUGGUUGUGAGGGAAGAGCAAUUCCCUAUCUGUACUGGGAUUUCUCCAGUCAGAGAGUUCUUCUCCAGCCUCAGCUCCUUCAGAGAGACUGCUUUCCCAAUCUCCAGUGGAAUGCUCCCAUUAAUCAGGUUCCUACUAAGAUCAAGGACUUCCACUGUCUCCAGCGCCAGAAUACUUGCUGGUAUAGAUCCGGAAAGCAAAUUCCAGGACAGGUUCAAUUGCCGCAAGCUCAGAAGAUUCCCGAGAACCAAUGGAAUUGCACCAGAGAAAGCAUUUCCCGACAAAUCUAAGUAACUCAGACUCCGAGUUGCGGAAACUCCUACGGAGAUACAACCGCUCAUUUUGUUCCCGAACACUGAAAUUCGCUGCAACUUCAACUCAAAAACCCAGGAUGGAAGAUUUCCAGUCAAAGAGUUAUCACUUAAAUCCAAGUCCGUCAGGCUUCUACAAGCACCAAUUGAUUCCGGCAAGCCUCCAGUGAGCCUAUUUCGUGACAAAUCCAGACUUUUAAGAAGCUGCAGCUUGCCAAUCGACUCAGGAACUCUGCCGGAGAACCAGUUUCUGGACAAAUCAAGGAACUCCAAGUUUUUCAUUUCUCCGAUCCAUGUUGGAACUUUGCCUGAGAACAAGUUCGACGCCAGCCUCAAGUGACUGCACAUGGAGAGCCUGUGCAUAGAAUCAGGAAGGCUCCCGGUGAGAAAAUUCACACUAAAAUCCAGAUAUUUCAACAGCAAACAGCUGCCCAUGUCAUCAGGCAACCGACCAGAGAGAUGAUUUUGUCGCAAGCUGAUUGACCUCAGAUUGUAUAGCCGACUGAUUCCGCCAGGUAUCUCGCCGACCAGAGAAUUGUCGGAUAGAUCAAGUGAUCGAAGACCAUAUAAGGACCAGAGCCCCUUGGGCAAAGAACCGGACAGCCGGUUUGAGGAAAGAUUUAAAGCCGCCAACGUUAAGCAAGAGCCGAGGCUCGGUGGGAUGUGCCCUGUGAAGGCGUUGUUCGCCAAUGAGAGGGAUCUUAAAGACCUACAUUGCCCGAAAAAUUCAUCCGGGAUUACACCGGAGAGGUUGUUUUCGCUGAGGUCGACAACCCGAAGGCUCUCGAGUUGGGAAAGCUUGGGAUUGAGGCUCCCGGAGAAGUUGUUCUUGGAGAGGUACAACUUCUGGAUGGAUUGGAGCUGGAGGAGGCCCCGUCCGAUCUUUCCCGAGAGGGAGAAGCCAACUAAGGAGAGCUCAGUGACUCGGUUGGUCUUUGCAUUGCACUUGACGCCGGUCCAGCCGCAGGGAUCGUCUUCGUCCUCGUUCCAAGAAGCGAGCUUGGACAGGGGAUCCAGAAUGUCGGCCUUGAAGACAAUCAAGCCGAGCACGUCGUCGUUUAGACCAGGGCUUCCUGAUUUGGCCAGAAGAGGGCAAAACAACAGCAAGGACGCCAGGCAGAACGCCAGAUUCCUCAUCCUCCUGCUCAAUAACAUUCGGGGUAAUGCCUCUGAGACUAGAGGAGGAAAUGGUAGGCCUCGUAAACUCAAAUUCGCAGCCUUCUUGCUCCUUUGAUCGACUUCUCUGCUCUCAAAAUUUUCCUAUGGAUUUAUGGAGGAAAAAGAAUGCGCACGAUGCCGACUAUCGGUGGCUGGGGAUUACAGCGGAUGGAGAAACCGCAAUGAAGGAACUUAGCCAAGAUUUCAUGAAAUGGCCGUCGAUGCAGCUCUCUGCUUCUGGAUGGUCGGAACAAGGUCGAUGAUCGGGUUCCCCCCCAAGACGGCCGCCACCUUGGGACUCGAGGGAAGAUAAGAAAGAGGGAGGAGAUACAUGAUGAGGACGGAGCAAGAAGAUGCGAAAGGCUUGGGUUCCUGCCGAAGAAACUUAAAGGCAAUGGAUGAAGUAGGAACCCCAGGCGACGAUGAUAGCCGCGUAAACGGGGGUGCGGUUUCGGAGAGGGGAUGAGGAAGGUGGCGGAUCUACCAUUAAUAGGGAAGCGGUGAACACUUAUCAGGCGGGGAAUCAAGGGAGACCUCGCCGGAACUCUGGCCGGACAUGAUGAAGGGGGCCGGGUGGUUGGCUCUUCUCGGUAUCUAUUAAAUGCUAUCUAUCAGCACUACUGUUAGCUCUGUUGUUCUGAGUGCCAAAGGUUGGUUUUGUUACUCGCACUUUUUUAUGCUACCAAGGAAAAGUUAGAUUGACGGAGAGUGACUGAGUGAAUGAGCGAGCGAGCGAGCGAGAGAGUGAGAGAGGGAAAAGAGAGAGAGAGAGAGAGAGCCACAGAGGAAGGUCUCUUUUCUCGGUGGAUACAUGGCCAAGGUCCGUGGAAUACUAUCUGACGGACACGUGGAUGCGCCCUUUUGUAGGUUGGCAAGAGUAAAGGGUUCAGAUUGGCCAUGGCGCUCUAAGAUGCGUGCGGAAACCUGUCCAAACAAAACAACAGAGCCUGAGAUGCAGAGUUUAAUAGCAAAUGGUGACUGGGGAUGCGCAACCCAAACCAAUCUUCAAAAUUAACCGGCGGAGAUGCAGUUGAUGGGCGGAUAAAUGCAGCUUACAUCCUCCUCCUGUUCUGGUCGGACACCAUGAUUGCAGCAGCGUCGCGGGCACAAAGGAAAAGUAACCCGCGAUAGGAGCUGGAAAGAAGGAAGCCCUCUCCCUCUCUUUUCUGGGUGCGUUAUAAGAACCUUUAUUCGGAUGGGAUCCUUUCUUUUGUGAGGCAUCCUUCCCAGUGAAUCAAUCAAUUCUCCCUUGCUAAAGGGCAUUCGAUUCACCCUUUUAAUGAUUACAACAACGUUCUUUGGUCUCCCCUUCUCACCCUUUUUCUGACACCAGAUUUUAAAAUUUGAACACCCAAUGGACCGGCCUGGGUGAUGGUCUGUGGAGGUGUUUCUGUGGGUGUUUGUCUCCGAGGUAAGGCUUCCCACGUCGGAUGCACUGCAGUGCAAUAAAUACGGACGCAAUAAAUGAGGCCUGCUUCCCCUAUUAAAUAUCUCCUCCACCCAAAUAAAGAGGCUUUAGAUGGAUGCAAUAAAUGGUGCAUGUCUUCUUCCUCGGGGCACUGUGCGCGGAGGCAGAUGGUUCAUCGCCUGCCUCAGUGUACCCGGAACGUGUUUGGCUGGUCGAACCGAAUCACUCGUGAAUUUUCCAGGGUGACGUGGUUUGUCACGUGUUGGGCGAGGGAGAGAAGUAAACAAAAUUUCUAAAUCAAAAAUAUAUAUAUAUAUAUAUAUAUAUUUAAGAUUAAUAAUCAACGACAUAUCGAAAAGUGAGACAAUACAUUUAACAUAACUUCCGUCCGUCCGUCCGUCUAUAUCACAGAAAAAUCUGGCCUCGUCAUCAAAGAAUAGUUAAUCCCAUCUAGGACCGAGGGGUAAGGUAGAUCGGAAACAAAGGGUUGUUGGUACAAGACAUAAUCCCGCCACAGUCAUCCGAGUGUGUGGCGUCUCUGGCACGGGCGACACCAUUCUGGGUUAUGAAUAACAAACGUAGCAGAAGGUGCCAAGUGGCAUAGAUGAUGACACCUCCGUGUGGCAAAAGGCAGUAUGUAUUAUCAUGUGUGUCGCUCGUGGAUUCCAGUUUUUGAGCAGCCGUAGUAAGACGCACUAGCAGCAUGGCAUCAUGCAUGUCAUGUGGUAGGCAGGCAGCAUUCGUUCAAUCCCAGUACCAUUGGAGUGACGGGCCGGGCCGGGCCGGUUAUUAUCAUUCCACCCGGUCACGGAGCAAAAGGCAACCCCGCACAUGCAGCUCGCCGCUCUUGCUAUUUCAAUUUCGUUGGUUCCUUCUAUUUACAGAGAGAGAGAGAGAGAGGUGAGGGUUCAAUUUUGUCUGGCGCAAACUUUGGGACGGUUAGUCAUUCNNNNNNNNNNNNNNNNNNNNNNNNNNNNNNNNNNNNNNNNNNNNNNNNNNNNNNNNNNNNNNNNNNNNNNNNNNNNNNNNNNNNNNNNNNNNNNNNNNNNNNNNNNNNNNNNNNNNNNNNNNNNNNNNNNNNNNNNNNNNNNNNNNNNNNNNNNNNNNNNNNNNNNNNNNNNNNNNNNNNNNNNNNNNNNNNNNNNNNNNNUUCUUCUUCUCUCUCUCUCUCUCUCUCUCUCUCUCUCUCUCUCUCGAAGGGACAACGUAAAGAAAGAACCAAAUGACCCACAGGACCAAGUGGCUUGUCUUCUCACGGUACGUCGUUUUGCUGUUGGGAAGAUUCUAUGGAACUAAACCGGAGGAGCCAUACUCUCUUGAAAGAAAAUUCCAGAAACACGACAUCAAUCUAGGUGAUAUUCUAUCUUCAAUUUAUUUGCGUGUCUUAUCGUUUUCUUUGCCUUCACUGUCCUUAACCUCCACCUCGCCGUUGACUUGCCAUUUUGUAUAAUAGAUGAUUAAAUCAAAUCAAUCUACCAGUAGCGCAUGUCGUAAUGCGACACAGUCAAGCAUGAGGGUAGGGCCCGUUGAGAGAAGGUCGCAGAGGCGAUAUGAUUCAUUUGCCGGUCUGAGCUCUCAUUGAUGACUCAAGUCUUGUACAGAUUUGGUCUGGGUCAGACGCGAGGGACGGGGACCGGCUUUUGUAAAUGCGAGUGCAAGGGUAAUCAAUGCUGCUUGUUUGACAUCCAUCAUGAGGUGCCGCAGGAUACCAUGACAUUCAAACUCUAGUGUCCCUUCAGUCUCAUAAUGGAUUUGCCCAGCUUUGAAGACAGUGAAAUACCGGUUCUUCGCAACUAUAGGAUGUAAUAAUUUAAAAUUUUAUUAGAUAUUAAAGAUAUAUUAUUAUCAUUCAUCUUGGUAUAAUUAGAGAAAUAUCUUAUGUGCUUUUAUUUAAGUAAAUCUUUUAUCAAUGUAAUUCAAAUUUGGAAAGAAAAAAUUCUCCACGAGAAUCUGAUUAGAACAAGACUCAAGCAGGUAUCGUAUGGAUCGGAUUGUACCAUACUUGGUAUACGAUCUUUGGGAUAUUAGAUGGAUGAUGGACUAUAAAUAUACAGUAAUUGAGGAUAUACAUGUUCAAUUGAUUCGAUUCUCUUACAUCAUCUAGGGAUUGCGACAUAGUAGCCUAGUACAUCCGUAGUCGACGAGUCGAGUGAAUUAUUAUGAAGAUAAUAAUUCACUGAGUUAGAAGGAGUUCUGAUAGGUAUGACUCAUGACUAGCUCGAUAUUUGACCUAGAGGGUCACACACAUAUUGUAGGUAUUACGACGAGUUGAGGUUCGAAUAUGAGAUAUCCGUUGGAGCUCCUAUAUUAUUAGAUAUAUAAUAAGCCCCUGAAUUAUUGGAUCAUAUGGAUGUAAUCAAAUAAAUGUCAAGAGAGAUUAUUGAGUAGAGAUCUACUAAUCUAAGAGGUUUCGGCAGUUGGAUGAAGAUCUAGUACCAAUAGGAUAAGAUCUAUUAUGGUUAAGUUGAUAUGAGACCUCUAUGAAUAGAAAGGAACUAAAGGACCAUAGGCUAGACCUCUUUUGAUUGCUACAUCUUAUUCUCCUCUCCCCCUUUACUUCUUAGCCAACAGCCCCUGUUUGAGACGUGUGGAUAAUAAGAAGGGUCAACCCCUUCUUGAUUUCGCGAUGUGCGUAAAGAGGAGGUUUAUACAGUGAUUUAAGUAGCGUCUUCGUAGCCCUUGUCGUUUGGAUCACUAUUAGAAAGGAUGAUAGCUAACCUCAUUCAUCCUCUCCCAUAUAUCUGUAGGUUUUUAGAGAUAUACGAUCUCUUUAUAUAACAUAUCUUUUAUAUACGUGCAAUUUUUCAGUUUUGUAUUUUUUUGUGCACCAAGCACGAUGACGAGAAACUAUUUUGUAUGAAAAAUUAAAAAUUUUAUUUUAUAUCUUUUCACUGUGCAUGUGAUAUCGCUUUAGGUUUCCGAACACGUAUAUCCCUAAAAUUUUUUAGAUCUAUGAGUAGAUAAAGGAGGUCAACUGUCCUCUUCUCUAGUGGUGAUCCACAUGGUAGAUAUGACGAAGACACUCCUUAAAUCACUGCACGAUCUUUCUUUCUAUGAGCACCAUGUGAUCAAGAACGGGUCGACCCUUAUUACUAUCCACACACUCUAAACUGAGGCUAUCGAUUGAGAAUGAGAGGGAGGGAGGGAGGGAGGAGAAUAGGAAGUGGCAGCUAUGCAGCGAUAGCAAGAAGGGCACUAUGAUCCAAUAAUUCAUGGGCUUAUUGGAUAUCCAAUAAGAUAUAGGCUCCAGCGAAUAUCUCAUAUUUGAAUAUCUACUCAUCACAACACAUACCAUAUGUGUAUGACUCUCUAGGCUGAAUAUCAAGCUAGUCGUGAGUUAUACCUGUCAAAACUCCUUCUAACUCAGUAAAUUAUUAUCUACAUAAUAAUUUACUUGACUCAUCAACUACAGAUAUAUUAGGCCACUACACCAUAGUCCCUAGAUGAUAAACGAGAAUUCAAUCAAUUAGAUCUGUCUAUUCUCAAUUACCGUGUAGCUUAGUCCCUCAUCCAUCUAAUAUCCCAAAUACCAUAUAACGGGUAUGGUGUUGUCAAGCCCAUACUGAAUCUGCUCGAGUCUCACUAUAAUCGAAUUCUAACGGAGAACUCUUUCUCUCUUAAUUCGAAUGACUCUGGUUGGGGAUUUGCUUAAGCAUAACACAUAAGAUAUUCCUCUCAUAACAUUGAGAGUAGAUAAUCCUUUAUUGAUAUUCAAUUACCCUUAUAAGGUUAGCGAAUGUACUAUGUCACUACAUCGUAAUCCCUACAUGAUACAAGAAAAUUCAAUCCAUUAGACCUGUCUAUCCUUAGUUAUCAUUUAUCUAUAGUUCCUCAUCUAUUUAAUAUCUCAAAGACUGUAUACCGAGUAUAGUGCUAUCAAGCCCAUACAACUUUUACUUGAGUCUCGCUCUAAUUAAAUUCUCCCAUAGAACUCUUUCUCUCUAAAUCUGAAUGACCAUGGCUAGGAAUUUGCCUAUGCUAAAAUAUAUAGAAUAUUUCUCUCAUGACACCGAGAGCAGAUAAUUCUCUAUUGACACUCAAUUACCUUCGUAAGGUUGGCUAUUACUCCCGAUGACCAACUGUGCUAGAUCUAAAAUUUUUUGACCUAUAAGUCUGUUAUCAAAGAGUGGAGUACUCAUAUAUGAUAUUCUUAGUGUCUUAAGUCUAAGAAUCAGAUACACAAUUAGGAUGAUAGAAUGAUUAACCAACAAUGAAGUAUCAUCAACUAUCUAAUAAUUUGUAAGUAGAUCAAUCAACGAACUCAUUCUAUAAUGAACACCUGCAUUGUAUCCCUAGUGUUCCUACAUGAGCUGCUAUGAGAUCAGUCACCUCCAUUAUCUAAAUGGGUAUAUAGCAUACUAGUCUAUUCGGUUAUCUCGAUAUCUCUCUCGAGUAACCUACAAUUGAAAUUAUUUAUGAUAUAUGUUUAAAAGCAAAUCGGUAUUAUUAUCGUGAUCUCAUCAUGAUCCGAUUCUCAUUACAUACAUCCAUGGAUAUAAUAAUAUAUGUAAUAGGUAAUAUAAAGUGAGAAAAUACUAAUAAAUAAUAAAUAAAUAAAAAGAGUGUGUAUCGUGUCAUACAUGUCAUUACUCAUGUGAUUGACUUGCAGAGUACCUAUGACUAUUAUAUUAUUAAAAGGUUUGGCAUGAAAAAUUUCAUGAGAGGUAUUAUACCGAUGAGAUAUGAAAUAUCACUUUCUAGGAUUAUAUCCCUAAAGAUACCUAAAGAAAGGAUAAACAUGAAUAUAAUAUCCUAUGUCUCGGCGACAUGAUCUAUCAUAUAUGUUAUGCUAUGUACCAUACCUGAUAUAGCGCAUGCUUUAAUUAUUGCGAGUAGAUAUCAAAUGGAUCCAAGUUUGGAAUAUUGGAAGACAGUAAAGUAUAUUUUUAAGUACUUGAGAAGAACUAAGGAUCUUUUACUAGUAUAUGGAGGAAGUAGCCAUAGGGUUUAGGGCUACACGGACUCUAGUUUCUAAUCCAAUAUUGAUGAUAGCAAGUCUAACUCAAGGUGUGUGUUCAUCCUGAAUAGAGAAGCAGUUUGCUGCGACAGAAGUAGCAUAAGAGAGAGUUUGGAUGAAAAAGCUUAUCAUAGAUCUAAGAGUUAUGUCAAGUAGCAAGGAGUUGAUUACCUUAUAUUGCAAUAAUAAUGGGAUAAUUGCUCAAGCGAAGGAACACAAGUCUCAUAAAAAAUCCAAGCAUAUUCUAAGGAGGUUCCACUUGAUCAGAGAGAACAUGGCCUGUGGAGAUGUAGCAAUGGAAAUAAUUUCAUCUAAGGAUAAUAUUAUAGAUCCAUUGAUGAAGUUGUCAUCUCAUAUUAUCUUUGAGCGUCAUAAGGGUCUAAUGGGGAUCAGACAUAUAGGUGAUUGACUUUAAGUCAAGUGAGAGAUUGCUAGUCAUAGGUGCCCUAUAAGUCAAUCACAUGAGCGAUGACACGUGUGAUAUGUGGUGCAGUCUUUUUUGCAUAUUAUUAUUGAUAUUUUUUAUACUUUAUGUUGCUUAUUGCAUAUCUUAUGAUGUCCAUAAAUUUAUGUAAUGAAAAUCGGAUAGUGAUGAGAUUAUGAUAAUGAGAUCGAUUUGCCUUUAAACAUAAAUAUUAAGUAAUUCCAAUCAUAGGUUACACGUGAGGGACAUCAAGAUAAUCGAAUAGACCUGUGUAUUGUAUACCCAUCCAUUUGAUGGAGGUAGUUAGUCUCAUAACUGCUCAUGUGGAGACAAUAUAAAUACAAUGCAGAUGCUUAUUGAAGAAUGAGUUUACUAAUUGAUAUGCUCACAGAAUGUUAGAUGGUUAAUGAUACCUCAUCGUUUCACAAUAGUUCCGCGGUCUCAAUUAUGUGUUUAAUCCUUAGACAUGAAACACCAAGGAUGUCCUGUAUGAGUACUCCACUCUUUGAUAUCAAACUUAUUCGUUUGGAAGUUCCAAAUCUAGCACAACCGAUCAUCGGGAGUGAUAGCUAACCUUUUCGAUGGCAAUUGAGUAUCAAUAGAUGAUCAUUCGCCCUCGUGUCAUGAGGGGAAUAUCCUAUGUAUUCUUGCUUAAGAAAAUCACUAGCUAGGGUCAUUCGGAUUGAGAGAGAAAAAGUUCUCCGAUAGAAUCUGAUUAGAGCGAAACUUAAGUAGAUUCCGUAUAGGCCUGAUAGCACCAUACUCGAUAUAUGGUCUCUGGGAUAUUAAAUAUAUGAGAUAUUAUAGAUACAUGGUAACUAAGGACAGAUAGAUCCAAUAGAUUAGAUCCCCCUGUUUUAUCUGGGGAUUAUGACGUAGUGGCUUAGUAUAUUCAUAAUUGAUGAGUUGAGUGAAUUAUUAUUAAGAUAAUAAUUCACUUAGUUAGAAGGACUUUUGAUAUGUACGACUUACGGCUAGUUCAAUGUUGGGCCUAGAGGGUCACAUAUAUAUGGUAAGUAUUGCGACAAGUAGAGAUUAAGAUAUGAGAUAUACGUUGGAGCUCCUAUCUUAUUAGAUAUCCAAUAAACCCUUGAAUUAUUGAAUCUUCGAGAUGAGACUCAAUAUAAGUCAAUAAUAGAUUGUUGGAUAGAGAUCUAUUAAUCCAAGAGGUUUGGGUAGUUAAAUAAAGAUCUAGUACCUAAUAAGACAAGAUCCAUUAUGGUUAAAUUGACAAGGACCUCUAUAAAUAGAAUGGAACCAAAGGGGUAUAAGCUAGACCCUUUUUAGUUGCCACCUUAUAUUCUCUUCUCUCCCUCUCCUCCUUAGCCGACAGCCCCAGUUUAGGGUGUGUGGACAACAAGAAGAGUUGGCCCCUUCUUGAUCACGUGGUGCACAUGGAUAGGAAGAUCGUGUAGUAAUUUGAGGAGUGUCUUAAUCGCAUCUGCCGUAUGGAUCACUACUAGAGAAGUGGACAAUUAACCUCUUUCAUCCACUCCUAUAGAUUUAAAAAAUUAGGAAUAUAUGAUAUUCUUAGGUAAUAAAUCUCUCUUGAUAUGCAUUAUUUUUUAUUUUAUGUUUUUUUUUGUACACCAAUCUUUGUAUGACGACGAGAAUCUUUUUCUUUAGAAAAUAUGGGAUUUUGUUUUAUGUUCUUCUACUAUACAUAUGAUACUCUGUUCAAGCUUCCCAAUAGGUCCCCCAUGUUAUAUGCCAAGUGUUUUAAGUGUAUUUCUCUCACUCUUAUAUCAUUUGUCUCGUGUCAAGAUAAAUCUAUUACUGUAGAGGCAUAAGGCCAAAUGUGCCUGAUAUAUGUAAGUCGAGAAAUCUCGAUCCAUGCCAAGAUAAAUUCAUAAUGAUAGAGGUGCAAAGCCAAAUAUGCUUGAGGUAUAUAAGUCAGAAAGCACGACUAGUGCCGAUAUAAAUCUAUUAUGGUAGAGGCACAAGCUAAAUGUGCAUAAGACGCAUGAGUUAGAAAACCCAACUGGAGCUUAAAUAAAUCUACUAUAGUAGAGGCACAGGUCAAAUAUGCUUGAGGUGUGUGAGUUUAGAAACUCGACCGAUGUUGAGAUAAAUCCACUAUGAUGGAGGCACAAGUUAAAUAUGCCCAAGGCAUCUAAGUUAGGAAAGUCGACCAGUGCCAAGAAAAAACCAUUACGAUGGAGGCACAAGCCUAAUGUACCCAAGACACCUUAAUUAGAAAAACCCAACUUGUAAAAUGAGAUCCUAAACACUCCCAUGUUAGAAAAUAUCGAUCAUCGUAUUUCAAAUCUCUCUUGUAAGAGCCUUAAAGCAUGUCUUAGGAGGGGACAAAUAAUAGAGAAUCUAUGAUCGGUUGACACGUGAUUGUCAUGCGAGAUCCAAGUCAUCCUCCAUCUGUCUACGUAUACAAAGAGUCAAAAUAGAGAAAAUAAGCUUUCUUCUUAUUCUUUAUGACAAUAAGGGUAAUCCUAAAACCUAGUCUCUUUUUUUUUUUUUAUGACAAGGAGGAUAAUUCUAAACCCCCUUCUCCUCUUUUAUGACAAGGAAUAUAAUUCUAAACCCUCUUCUCGUCUUUUAUGACAAGGAAUAUAAUUCUAAACCCUCUUCUCCUCCUUUAUAAUAAAAGAAGGUCAUUACGAAAUUUCUUCCCCUCUUUUAAAGGUAUAAAAGCAUAUCCUAUAGGGAAAAAGAGAUGAACUCACUCUUUUGAACUACUCAAAUCAAUAUUUGAGGAUCUCAUAUUACUAAUUAAGCAUCGAAAAGAUUGAGUCGAGAAAUCCUUCUCGACCUCGAUCUUCAUGCAGUGAAACCUUGGGAGUACGGUAUUUUUAUCUUAAGAGCAUGGUAUUUUCAUCUCAGAGAUAUCUCGGACAAUCUGAACCAUAUCAAACUGAUCAUAAACAUCAAUGAUAUUUUUUCCUACCAAAUUUAAAGAGUAAUUGAGUUAUAAGGCAGAGUUCACCCACCCUUGUACCCAUGGGUGUGGCUGAUCGCUUCGAUCAUUAACUGAAUUGCUGUCGAUAAGGUGGUAGGCCACCCAUCGCUUGGGCCAAUUAUUUGCGUUCUUUCGGCUAUCUUCACCAUGCAUCGACUAGUUUUCAACCACCGUCGCAAUUAGCUGAGCUUUCAAAACAUCGCAAACUUAAUCAGUCGAUAAAUGUUUCGUAUAAUUUUCUCAAAGGAAGUGACAGUUAACUUUAUGAUGAAGCUCUCGUCAAGUGAGAAGGGAAUAGUUGCAUCUUUUGUUUUCUGGUAAGAGAAAAGUGAAACAAAAUCACAUCUAUGAUAUUCUAUCAAACAUCUCAGAAUACAAACAAGAUUCGUAUUUAUAAAAUUAUGUAAAGCAUCUUAGAAUAGAAACUCGUCAUUCAAGUACUAUUAUUCGUACUACAAAAAGAAGCAUAUCAAUUGAUUAUUCACUAGUUAGAAUAAGCGAGUUUCAUGUCUUCGACCAACUCUAAAGAUGCCUCUCACUCACACAUCGAUCAGUUGCUAUCUCUUAGUACAUACUCUCCACCAUCGUCUUCAUAUAUGCAUCCAGUUCAAGGGAUUCCCACGUUGAUUCUAAGUUCAAUAACCCAUCCUUCAUAUCAAAUGUGCCGGAGAAAACUGAUCCUGUCACUUCGGAGGGUAACAGAUGCACCAGCUCUUGAUCACCGAACAAUGGGAUGCUACGACUCUGGCUAUGGUUGGGCGUGACAGCCAAUGGAGGACAAAGGUGCUGGUCUUGGAUGACGAAGGAGCUCGGUCUACGGUGGUCAUACGACGCUGCUGAGUUUUCAACAAGUGAUUCCAUCACGGAAGGGAAGUUGGUCUCGACGACGUUCUUGCAGGUGUGUGUCAUGGUAUAGACUACGAGAUAGUUGGGUGGAUCUGCAUCGCUAUCAUCCUUUUGCACCGUCUUUCUUGCUUGGCACCCUUGAUCUGUGCUGUAAGUGCACCUGAAGUAGCUUCUGUAGAGAAGUGUAUAUUUAGGAUGAACCGAUUAGAAAUGCAUUGUGGAAACCACGCGAGCAGGGAAAUUGCAUCACUGAAAUCGGAAACAUUAUGAAAUAGAAUCAUAUGGCAAUUGCCGUUCACGAGGAGAUGUAGAAACUCCCUUUCUGAAGGGGAAUUGAAAUUCCAACAAAUGAGAUGAGUCGACAAAAACUCGGCGGAAGAGCUUUUCAGUAAUAUAAUUAAUUAUAUUUGUUUGCAUAUCAAAAUCAUUUUUGAGUAGCAAUUUUCGUAUGAAAGUAUAUGCGUAGCCUUGUGAAAAAAAAAGACUUGGUAUAUGUCAUAUGUCUCUCCGUGUGUAUGUUUCGACAAUUUUUUUCUCAUUCCGGUUCCAAUUAAUUUCAGUUCAGAUUCUCAUUUAGAUUUAGUUCACGCUACGUGCAUAUUCUUUCUUUCCAACGCUUCAAGUAUAGUUUAGGUGGACAGGGGUGUGUAUUUUUAUGGAUUAAAGAAAAGAAGCCAACAAUAUGAGCUUACCUUGGAUGUUUGGAACCGUGGAUCAACUUCUGCCCAUACUUCCUCCACUGAUGGCCAUCAUACUGGACUGAUGUGACUACCGAGUAAGAGUUUUCUUUCCUCCUGCAAGAACAAGUUGAAACUUCCGUGAGCGCUUGCUUGAUCCCUUUUGUUUUUUUUUUUGCCCUUGUUAUUCUCCUUUGAGGGCAUAAGGAGAUUGUUUCGAUUUAUAUUAUCUUAAGUGGAGCUUUAUCACAACCAUUUAACUUCCUUCUACAUUGAACUAUUCGAGAUAUUUUAGGCCAAGCAAUCGAGGUGCGUGACUAUGGCAAACCGUACACGAAGGUUGGAAAUAGGUUUUGUGAGUGCAGGGGGUCAAAACCCACCUCUAACUAAUUCUCUGUGCUAUUUCUUGGGUUCUAUUCAUUUUCCAGAUAGAAAGCAUUAAGAAUUGGUGUGGGGUACAAGUAUAUGAUGUCGUCUCUACGGACACCAAUCAGUCUAACAAUCUAAAGAUUAAAAACGCGUUUCCUCAUCGGAUGCAUUAUUGUGACAACGAACCAUAAUUUGGUAGAUGUCAAAGCUGGAUGUCCCACUGGUGACAAUGGACGAAAGCUGAUUCGUAAACCUAGAGUUUUCGCAGAAGCACCUGAGCUCCCAGAUAUCUAGAUUCUCAAAGGAUGUAGCAACAAGUACGUAGCUAUGUUUCUAUGGGCCGGAGAGGAGAGAGGAAUAGGCGAGUCGACGCCGGUGAA